rnacentral:lncRNA from 1 species
GUUAUUAGUAAAAAAAAUAUUUAUUAAAAUACAAAAAAAGAUUGAAUAAUUUUACUUUCUAAUCAUUUUUGUAUUUCUUUUUGUUAAAAUAAAAGAGCUCUCUUGUUUCGUAAUUGAUUGAUUGAAUUCCAAAGAAAACCUAUAUUUAUAGGAAAUUCUCGAAUAUUGCUUAUUUCAUAUAAAAGGAAAUCCUAAUGACUAGAAUUCUCUAAGUUUUAGAAUGUCUUGUUUAAGAGACUAAGUAUUUUUUAUUGGAAUUCAAUUAUGGAAUAGCCUUCUGAACUUAAUUAACUAUUUGAAUUGAAUUUUACCUUCUUUUUAUCUCCCCCUCUUAUAUGAGGGCAACACCACAUAAAAACAUUCCCCCUAGAGUAGCUGUUAAUACGAAUAACAGAAACUCUGUUAUAGCCAUUUCUGUACAUUCAAUGUACUCUAUGGAUAGAGGAAUACAUAAAGUUGAACAUAAUAAAAUAAGAAAUUGAAAGAUUUCGUUGAAAUUGUUCGUUUGGAAAUUUCCCGAAAAGCUAAUUAUAGGUUCUUCUCUCCAUCGGAACAAUAGGGUCGUUAUGUGUUGGGGCGAAGGCAAAGACGCCACCCUUCGCUCGUCGUCUCUCGCUGCAGUCGCUGGUUUGACGAAGACAAAACGGGCAGGGACACCCUUCGCUUCAUUCAGCACCAGACGAAGGCCUGCGGUGACGUCUCCCCGUAGCACGGCCUCGUCCUGCUCUAAGGCCCACGUGUGAUCUGGCCCAUUGUAACGGGCCCCGCGUGGCCGCCUUUGUGUUACGGGCCUAGUUUGUAAAGGCAUUCUUGUAAUUACGGCUUGUAACCCCGCUUUAUGGGAAUAUUCUGGGGAUAAACUAGGUGUCUGAGGGCACAUGCGUCCUUAACACAAGGCGCUGGGCACUCAGAUACCUAUAAAUACCCCCGCACAGUGCCCGUGAGAGGCUAGAUCAACAGAGCUAUUGCCCCCCGUGCGCGUAACCCUGCUGUCACCACCGUUCACCCUUGUUGGCUUCCUUGCCGCUGAGAGCAAGUGCCAACAUUUGGCGCCCACCGUUCGUGCUACGACAAGACCACCCGCGAUGGCACCCAAGAGAGCUAACCCGAAGGCUAACGAGGCUGCGAAGGCAGCACUGCUGGCCGCAAGAAAAGGCAAGGCCCUCGCCCUCACCCAAUCCACCCACCAAGAGCCCACUGAAGACAACAUUCCCCGCACCUGCGAAGACGACACCUUCCGCACCUGCGGGCCCGAAGGACAAUCGCAGCCGCCCCCAGGCUUCGCCCCAGUGGAGGGCGCGGAUCUCACCGAGGACGGCGAGGUCCUCGGCGUCUCAACAGAAGAACAGUUACAGCUGCGCGCCCUGCGCCUCAAGAACCGCAAUCUCCAGAGGCAGAAAGAGAUACUGGAAGCCAAGCGCCAACGUGUGUCCGCACUAGCCAAGGUGCGGCAGAUGAUACGCGACGAGGAGCAGAAGGCCCAAGACCUCGAGCGCGAGAUCGCGCUGAUGCAACGCGAAGGCCACCUCGGUCUACAGCAAGAGCCACCCCUCCAGCAGCGCGCGCAACCGGAGGACACGCGCGAAGGCCACCUCGGCCUGCAGCAUGGCCCACCCCUGCAACACCGGCCGCAGCCGGAGAACCCGCGUUUCCACCAACAUGAUUACGCCUUCCAGCACGGCGCACCAUUCCAAGGGGUCAACUACCUCGAUGAGCGAAGUCCCCUGGCGCCACACCUGCAAGUGACGCCGUGGCCAGCUAACUUCCGAGCAGGGGCAUAUCCCAAGUACAACGGCAGCACCGAUCCGGCACAAUACAUAAUGAGUUAUCAAGUCGCCGUUGCAUCCGCCGGAGGGGACGACGCCACAAUGGCGAAGUCUUUCAUCAUCGCCCUAGAGGGCCCAGCACUCACCUGGUUCACCAGAUUGCCUCCGCUGUCCAUUGAUUCGUGGAGAAGUCUCAGGGACAAGUUCCUUCUCAACUUCCAAGGGUACCGCCCAGACACCGACGCUUUGGCCGAGCUCUCGCUUUGCAAACAGCUGGAAAAGGAGACUCUGCGGGAGUAUUACCGCAAAUUCUUAACGCUCAAGUCACAGCUGCCCUCCAUCGAUGAUCAGAUCGCUAUCCACUACGCCAUCAGUGGCCUUCGGGCCGGCGUCCUCUACAGCCACUGUAUAAGAGAUCCACCCAAGAACCUUCAGGAGCUAUAUCAGCUCUUUGAAAAAUAUGCCAAAUCCGAAGAGCUCCACCAGCGCAAAGUUGAGUCACAGCGGAAGCCCAAGGAUGCCCCGCAGUCCAGCCGCACAUGGACGAGGACUCCACAACCAGACUCCGGUCGAGAUGGCCGCAGUCAGCAGCAAGUGCACAACAUCGCAAACCAGCAGCCUGCUGCUGACCCCCCUCGUCGCCAGGAAUAUCCCCCCCAAGGCCGCGGGAACGGAACUCGUGGCAGGGGCCGAGGGCGCGCGCAGCCGCCGCGCCGGUUCUACUGCCUUUUCCACGGCGAAGACUGCGCCCACCAAACGAAAGACUGCCCCGAAACGAAGGCCACCAGAGACAGAAUGGCGCGGGCGCAGCCAGCCGACAAUCCCAGAAUUGUCGCGCAUAAUUACCAGCCACCCCCUCCACCAUAUAUCCACGCUCCCGCUCUGCAUCCACCGCACCACGCUUACCAACACCAUCAGGAAGUACAAAUCGUACCUCCUCCACCCCCACCACCACACCAGCAACACCAAAACAUCCCCCACGCCCCAAAACAGGAAGACUUCGCCGAUCAACCAUAUCGCGGAGUCAUUCACAUGAUAACAGGGGGGUCCAGCACUGACUUCGACACCAAGCGGCAGAAGCGGGACCACUACCGCAGCAUCAACCAUGUCGCGGUUACCGGCCCAGUCGUGCAGACGAAGUGGUCCCAUAUACCGCUAACCUUCGAUGCACGAGACGUCGACCUGCGCAGCGCCCCCCACAUCGACGCUAUGGUCAUCAAUUGCAGCGUGGCAGGCUGGGACUUGCACAAAGUCCUAGUCGACAACGGCAGUCAGGCGGACAUCAUCUUCCUCCACGCCUUCGACCGCAUGGGUAUAAGCCACAGCCUGCUCAAGCCUUCGGACAAUCCGUUGUAUGGCUUCGGCGGCAAAGGCACCUUCCCCGUUGGCAAAAUAGAGCUUCCCCUCUCCUUCGGUGUAGCACCCAAUGCCCGAAGUGAGCAAGUAACCUUCGACAUUGUCGACAUGGUAUAUCCGUACAACGCCAUCAUGGGCCGGGGCUCAAUCAAUAAGUUCGAAGCCGCCAUCCACGGACUGUACCUAUGUAUGAAGAUACCAGGUCCGCUAGGCGCUAUCACGAUCUACGGCAACCAGCAGACGGCGCGCAACAUAGAGCGGGACUUCGUGCCUGGUCAGAGGAACGUACACUGUCUCACGGCCCAACGCGAGGUCCCCGCGCCCGCCAGCCCAGCCGACAAGCAGCACGAGAAGGCACAGUUGCAGAGCCAAGAUGGAACCAGGACUGUUCCCCUUGAUCAGGCCACGCCCAAGCAGACAGUCACUAUCAGCGAAGACCUUACGUCACAUGAAGAAGAAAGGCUUCUCUGCUGCCUGGCCAAAAAUAAAGAUGUCUUCGCCUGGUCCGCCCUAGACCUGGUCGGAGUCAGCCGAUCCAUAAUUGAGCACAGCUUGGGAAUUGACCCUUCGGUGCGGCCAAAAAAGCAAAGGCUCCGCAAAAUGUCCGACGAAAAGACAGAGGCCGCCAAGGCGGAAGUGCACCGCCUCCUAGAAGCUAAAUUCAUCGAGCCAGUGGCUUACCCCACGUGGCUCUCCAAUGUCGUAAUGGUGCAGAAAAAAGCGGGAAAUGGCGAAUGUGCAUAGACUUCACCAGUCUCAAUAAGGCCUGCCCGAAGGACAACUUCCCGUUGCCGCGGAUCGACAAGAUAGUCGAUAGCGCGGCCGGGUGCGAGGUCAUGUCACUCCUCGACUGCUUCUCCGGCUAUCACCAGAUAUACAUGAAGGAGGAAGACAAGGCUAGCACCAGCUUUAUAACACCCUUCGGCACUUAUUGCUUCAUCAGGAUGCCGGAGGGACUCAAGAAUGCGGGGUCCACCUUCUCCAGACUCACCAAAACAGUACUCGAGGGCCAGGUCGGCAGAAAUAUAUUUACAUAUGUGGACGACAUCGUCGUCGCCAGCAAGAAUAAGGAGGACCACCUCGCCGACCUCGCCGAGACAUUCGCGAACAUGCGAGAUGCACGACUCCGCCUGAACCCGGAAAAGUGCGUCUUUGGUGUUCGCCAGGGCAAGAUAUUGGGUUACCUGGUGUCACACCGCGGCAUCGAGGCCAACCCAACCAAGAUCCAGGCCAUCGUCGACAUGUCGCCUCCGCAGUCCGUCAGGGACGUCCAGCGUCUGACAGGCAGACUGGCCGCUCUCAACAGAUUCAUCUCCAAGUCCGCCGAGCGAAGUCUCCCCUUCCUCAAAACACUCCGCGGCGCGAAAGACUUCGCCUGGGGACUGGAGCAAGCGGCGGCCUUCGCCUCACUCAAACAGUACCUGUCGGAGCUGGCCAUCCUCACCAGCCCCGACUCCUCGCUCCCCCUAUUGCUCUAUGUCGCGGCUUCGCCGCACGCGGUCAGCGCGGCACUAGUGCAGGAGCAGUCAGUCGAAGGCGCAGUCAGACAGUGCCCUGUUUACUAUGUCUCCGAAGUCCUGACACCGUCCAAAUGCAACAUGACAGAGCUGGAGAAGAUCGCCUACGCAGUUGUCAUGUCCUCGCGCAAACUGCGCCAUUACUUUGAAGCAUUCAAGGUCCGAGUCACCUCUGACAGAGGGCUCGGCGAACUAUUCAGAAACCCGGAGGCAUCGGUGAGGAUUGCCAAGUGGACAGCCGAACUCUCCGGCUACCACAUCAGCUUCGAGCCCAGGACAACCAUCAAGUCGCAAGUCCUGGCAGACUUCGUCGUCGACUGGACUGGGCCAGCAACACAGCCGGACCCGUCCACAUAGAAGAUCUGGACCAUUCAUUGCGACGGUGCAUGGUGCCAUGCGGGGGCAGGCGUCGCUGCAGUCGUCACCUCACCUGCCGGAGUCAAACACAGAUAUGCAGCACGCCUCAACUUCGCUCUGGAAUCCGACAAAUGUACAAACAAUAUAGCAGAGUAUGAAGCGGUUAUCCUCGGCCUCCGCAAGCUAAGGGCCCUCGGAGUCACCACAUGUAUCAUCAAGACAGACUCCAAGAUAGUUGCCGGACAGGUCGAGAAAGACUAUGCAGCAAAAGACCCCGCCCUCAUGCAAUACCUCGCGGCUAUCCGAAGUCUCGAGAGACAAUUCAAGGGAUUCACCCUGCAGCAUGUGGAUAGGGCCAAGAACGAGGAGGCCGAUGCCUUAGCCAAGGCCGCCGCCAGGGGCGAGCCCCUGCCCUCCGACGUGUUUUUCCACACCAUCGGCACUCCAGCCGUCCGGAGCCCCGAAGGGCUCCAGAUAACUAAUGAUAGCGAAGGCCACCGUAUAGUCAACCUAAUCAUGACCGAAGACUGGAGGGCACCAAUAACCCUGUUCCUACAGGGGUACUAUCAUCCAGCCGACGUCAGUGAGGCAAAGCGCCUCAGACAUCGAAGCCGGGACUUCGCUCUGAUCGAGGGCCAACUAUACAAGAAAGGGGUCAGUCAGCCAAUGCUCAAAUGCGUCACCGAAACCGAAGGCAUGCAGAUCCUACGCGAAGUCCACAGUGGCACGUGCGGCUCGCACGCAGGGCCAAGGGCCCUGGCUGCCAAGGUGAUCAGUCAAGGGUUUUACUGGCCCGCAAUGAUCUGCGCCGCAAAUCGGGUCACGAGGUCCUGCGAAGCCUGCCAGAAGUUCUCCCCUCGGUCAGGCAACCCCUCGCAAUAUACAAAGCUGAUCGCCCAUACAUGGCCUCUCCAGCGCUGGGGCCUGGACAUCGUCGGGCCCCUGCCCACCGCUCAGGGGAACCUUAAGUUCGCCUUCGUAGCCGUCGAAUACUUCACCAAAUGGAUUGAAGCGAGGGCUGUUUCCACAAUCACAUCAAAGACUGCCCAAAAAUUCUUCUGGCAGAACAUCGUUUGCCGCUUCGGAGUACCGUCCGAGCUACAGUUGACAACGGAAAGCAGUUCGACAGCCAAGAUUUCAAGGAUUUUUGUUUCUCCAUCGGCACCAAGCUUGCCUUCGCUUCAGUCUAUCAUCCGCAGUCCAACGGGGUCGUGGAGCGCGCCAAUGGGAAAAUAUUCACAGCUGUCAAAAAGAUGCUCCUCGAUGAAAGAAAAGGCAGAUGGACCGAUUUAUUACCGGAGGCAGUCUGGGCGCUGAACACAACUGAGUGCAGGGCGACCGGGUUCACUCCUUUCCGCCUUCUAUACGGAUCGGAGGCAAUGACCCCGCAAGAAAUAAAGCAUGGGUCCCCGCGUACAGUUCCGUCAGCCGUCCCCGACGUGGAUGAGCCAACUUCAAAAGAUCUCAUCGACGGAGACCGGGUCUUCGCCCUACAGGCCCUAAACAAAUAUCAAGCCCAAACCAAAGCAUGGCGCGACCGCGCAGUCAUCCCGAGGGAGUUCAGCGAGGGGGACCUCGUACUCAUCCGGACAGCUCGGACGGAGUCCAAGGGCAAGUUGGAGCCCAAGUGGGAGGGCCCCUUCAUAGUCAAGUCAAAAGCUUCCCCCAGCGCUUACAGGCUCACAACGCCAAACGACGAGGACCUGGAGCACUCCUGGAACAUCGACAACCUUCGCAAUUUUUUUGUUUGACCCAUUUAGGGCUGAUUUCGCCCUUGUAAUUCGCCGCAAACAAUCUUGUACCGGCCCGCACUCUUUUCCUCCCGGGGGUGAGGUUUUUAACGAGGCGGAGCCAUGUAAUAUAUGUGAAAAAAAAAUCCCCCGCAAAAACAUGUGUCGAAAAAAGACCGCGACAACGGUCUUCGGCAUUCGACCAAUUCGAAGUCACCACGAGGCUAAGCGCUAGCCACCCUCGCGUGCGACGAGUUCGCGCAGAAGUCGCCUAAGGGUGCAGCCGGACUUAGCACAACAAGUGCGAAAAAAUUCCGAUGUCUAUCGCGAAGACUAUCCGCGCAGAAGUCGCCUAAGGGUGCAGCCGGACUUAGCACAACAAGUGCGAAAAAAUUCCGAUGUCUAUCGCGAAGUCUAUCCGCGCAGAAGUCGCCUAAGGGUGCAGCCGGACUUAGCACAACAAGUGCGAAAAAAUUCCGAUGUCAAUCGCGAAGUCUAUCCGCGCAGAAGUCGCCUAAGGGUGCAGCCGGACUUAGCACAACAAGUGCGAAAAAAUUCCGAUGUCUAUCGCGAAGACUAUCCGCGCAGAAGUCGCCUAAGGGUGCAGCCGGACUUAGCACAACAAGUGCGAAAAAAUUCCGAUGUCUAUCGCGAAGUCUAUCCGCGCAGAAGUCGCCUAAGGGUGCAGCCGGACUAAACACAUCAAGUGCAAAAAAAUUCCGAUGUCUCUCGCGAAGACUCCGCGCAGAAGCCGCCUAAGGGAGCAGUCAAACUAAGUACAACAAAAGCAGGAGCGACAGCAUCAAACCAUCCGCGCUAAAGACCGACUAUAAUCACACCAGCACAGCAUAGCCAACCAUGCCACGCAAAGCAUACAGCGCCCUCGCAGGCACAGGCACGCGAGGGCACACAACUUCAUCUUACAACCUUUUACACAUAUACAAGCGAGGGCACCGCACUCUACAUCGGCUCCACCUUAGGAAUAAUCCCCAUCUCCCUAUAAUUAAAUAACAUUAUCCUAAGCUCCUCACCCGCAAAAAGACUUCGCAGUUCCCCUUCCCCUGUGCUCGUGGCGUCCGGCAGAGACAACAGUUCCUGCCGACCACCCCUACUCACGCGAAGCCGAGCCCCUUCCUCCGCACUAACCCUACGCUUUGCAACCGCCCUUCGUCGUCGGCGCCCGGUGCUAGGACCCAGCACGUCUGGCGCGUCCGCGGCGUGUGGCGAAGCCUCCGCCGCAGCCACGUCCAAGGCCGCAAAAUAAUCCAAGUCCUCCUCCUCCGACUCCUCAGUCCACUCAACCGAGCUCCCAGAAUCAGUAAAAUCAAAAAACUCAGAUACAGCCCCACCAUAUUCAUUUCCAUCUUCCGCGGUCGAAGCCGCCAAAAACCCAGUAGUAGCGGUUGCGUGCGCAGGCCCAAAAUCUUGAACCUGCGCAGCAACCAAAAUUCAGUACACAACAUCCAAAAAGUCCCCAACCCUAAACACCCACUACGCCACCUGCGAAGGCCCUGCCGCUGCGGGAGCCUCCGCUGUCUCCUCCGCCGCCGUUUCCGCCACCACUGCCACGGAAUCUUCAGUGCUCGGCGCAGCAGCUGCGGGGGCGCCAGGCGCGCCUUCGGCCACCUUUGGAGGCAGGUCUUCGCCGGCCACAGCAGAGGUGGGCACGCUCGGCGCGUCUUCCGCAGGCCCCGGGGUUGUCUCCAGGGUGACUCCAGUCGCGGCCUCCGCGGGGGUCAGCUCCGGGUCAGGCAGCACGCUGUUCAGUGCCCCGAAGUCGUCCACCCGCUCGCCACGCUCCGCCUAAGACAACACACACAAAAAUUCAGCGAACACACGCACAGCCCGCAUACAGCAAACAACAAACAAACGACGUUACCUGAGCCCUCGCAGCCUCGGCCCGCUCCCUGACCACCUCACGACCGUACAGACCCCACAUCCGGUCGUAGAGGGCCCCGGCGGAUUCCUUCACUACGGGGUCUUCGACCUUAUAGAUAUCUCGAUCAAAAUCUUCAUCCACCUGGUCGAAGGCCUCGAAGUGCCGGCACCCUUCGCGGGAGAGCGCGUUCAUCGCCCCCUCGCAGGUGACCAGGGAGGCGUACGACAUCAACCCCCCCACGAUGGCUGGAAGUUCCAGCAGCUCCUCCUGCGCCCACUGCAGACAGCGAAGGCCGAGCUCUCGGUCCGGCACUUCGAAGUCACCGGUCCGUGCACCCAGCUCACGAUAUGUAUCCAUAAGCUGAGUGCGCGUCCGUUCGGCCUCCGCAUGCAUUGCGGCCUCGGCCUCCUUAGCGCGGCUCUCCAGGGCGGUGAGCCGCUCUUGCAGAUGUUCGGCGAGCUCCGUGGCAAGAUUGCCCUCCGCCCGCGCCAGCUUGGCCUCCGCCUGCGCAGCCUGCCCCUUGGCGAUAGCCUCGUUAGCUUCCCUCCUCUCCGCCGCCAGUUGGCGCCGGAGGUCAGCCUUCUCCUUCUCCAGGGCGGCCACCCUGUCCGUCAGCUUACGGCACUUGCUGUCGGAGGCCGACUUCUCACGAACAGCGUCAGCAUGUUGUGUCCGAAGUCUCUCGACUUCGGCAGACACAGCCGCCGUGAGGGCCCCCGACGCAGUGCGGCUAGCAAAGUCAACCACCUGCAGAGCCGCGACACAGCACGUAAGGCCGUUGCCCCAAGAGAGGUGGGGAAGAGAGUAUGGCUCAACGGACCUGACUCAGCGCCUCCGUCGCCUGACUCAGUGCCUCCGUCACUCUCUUCAGCCGGCGGGUCGCCGCGCCCGCCUCGUCCCUGACCACGGCGAGGGCCGACACCUCGCCUCCGGCGUCAAGGGCCUCGCCCCUCGCCUUCGGCACUAUGGCCGCUGUCGCGAUCUCCGCGCCAGGCGCAACCAUGGCAAGCUGGCCCUCGUCCGACCCUGCAACGCAUCUUCGAAUUAAAAAAAAACAAAAAAAAUAUAGGCCAGCGACUUACCACCAAGAUAGUCGUCCACAGUAAUGUCGGUGCCGAAGUCGGCAACACGUUUGCCCGCCAGCGGCAGCGCUCGGGCCGCCUUCGAAGCCUCCGCCAUUCCACUGGCCGGGGGCACCACCUUCGCCGACUUGGAGCCUCCGGCGCCCGCCGUUGCCUCCGGCGCCUUGCUAGGUGCAGAGGCGCCCGCCUUCGCCGCCAGCGGCGGCUUACCUCCGCUGGAGGCCACGGCCUUCGCAGUUCCCCGCGGCCUUUUCGGCCGAGCCUCGUGAAUCCUGACAGUCGCCUGGCGUUUUUGCGCCGCCCCUUGGCGAUCCUUGUCCAUCACUGUCCACACAACAGCACCGAUAUUUCGCCCGUAAGGAAAAACUCUCCACCGAUGAACCAUACGAGAUGUAAAACAGUCCUCCUCAGCCGCGCAGGGGAUAGGAACAUUUUUCGGCCAGCAACCCCCGGUAACCCUCAGCAUCCGAGCCGAAGACUCCCGGAGCUCGGGCGAAGACAUCCUUUCCCCCGGGGCCGCACACGUCCUCAUUAACUCUCUAGCAAAACUAUCAGACACCCCAAGUCCCCCCAUCGCAGUACCUAAUUUUCUCUUUUUUGAGGAGGGGGCGGCCGCCAGCGCAGGGUCGCCUCCAGUCUCCACCGCCGGUUUCUUCCCACGGCGGUCCGCUUCGUCUUGACCAGGAUAGCCGUCGUACGGCAAUUGAUUUAAUUCGAAGACCCUGUUCAAGCGCUCAUUUGACCCGCGGAUAUCAAAGCUGCGCUGGCCUUCAGUCCUCGGCACGUAACGUCCCACGAGCCGCACCGCCAAGUCCUCCGCAUCACGCACAAAGGCGGCCGGGUCACGAUUCCGCAAGUUCAGUGCGAAGGCAGGACUUCGCACCACCCUUCCACCGUGAAAAGGCAUCUGGCGAGGGCACACUUCGCCCAACGCCCAGCCGUGCGCCAAGGGCCAGACCCCGUAUGCCACGAACUCUUCAACUAAAUCACGCCCACUGCUCUGACCGGCGGCGCAUCGGAGGGCCCCUUCGUCUGCAUCCUCUUCUGCCACUUCAAAAGGCGGAUACGCAGAAUAAUAAUGAGAGCACAUCUCAGACACAGGGAGACCUUUAUGGCCUUCGACAGUACCCUCCGCAACGUAAAACCAAAAUUCAUUCCAAUUGCCCCACUUGUUGCGGGCGCACGGAACCAACUCCACUACUGGCAUUGUGGUCUUGCCGGUCUUCGGCGUGAAUGUGCACGACCCGAACUGGGCAACUCCGUCCCCAACCAUCCUCUUCUGCCAAUGCAAACAAUAAUUCUUCGCAAAAACUUCAACAGACGGCUGCCCGCCGUACGAAGUCGUCGCCCAGACAUACUUCGCCAGCGCCACCAUAGCAUUCGGUGUCAGCUGAUGUAUCUGAACAUUGAAUCUACGCAGGACUUCGCCGACAAACCGGUGCGCAGGCAAGCGGAGACCGGCGGCGAAGAACGCCUCGAAAACGACCAACUCACCCUCCGGCUCGGGGACUUCCUCCGUCCCCGGAGCACGAGCAACUCCGCCGCCAAAGUAGCCCAACCGCUGCAUAUCUUCAACGCGGGCUGACGUCAUCCGUGACACACCAAAAUCAACGGAGUCGCCGGCGCGCAACUCCUCCACCAUCACGCUACUCAACGUCUCCUCAGACGAGGCGGCGGCCGGCGGCGUGGUGUCGGAGGAAGAAGAAGAGGACGGCAUUGCUACGUACCGUCGGCGGCGGCGGGCGGUUUGCUUCACUCGAGCCAGCACUCCGGCGAGCAAAAGGAGCAGCGGAAGAAGAAGAGCAGCAAGGCGGCGGGAGGCUAGGGUUUUCACGGAGCGCGGAAGGCAAAGUUCAAACAGCGCCGGCCCCCGCCCCCUUUUAUAGGCAGGGCGCGGCUCUUCGGGAAACCCGCAAUCCGACAGGGCGCGACGCUUCGGGAAACCCGCAAUCCAACAGUACGCCGUCCAUCAACGGUCACAUCAGAAACCCCCGCGGAACCACUUCGAGCGAGGGCAGCGUCUCCGCCAUCCAGCGACGUCUUCGGCACCAGGUGACUUUGUCGAACUGGUCCCUCGGAGGGCAAAUGUUGGGGCGAAGGCAAAGACGCCACCCUUCGCUCGUCGUCUCUCGCUGCAGUCGCUGGUUUGACGAAGACAAAACGGGCAGGGACACCCUUCGCUUCAUUCAGCACCAGACGAAGGCCUGCGGUGACGUCUCCCCGUAGCACGGCCUCGUCCUGCUCUAAGGCCCACGUGUGAUCUGGCCCAUUGUAACGGGCCCCGCGUGGCCGCCUUUGUGUUACGGGCCUAGUUUGUAAAGGCAUUCUUGUAAUUACGGCUUGUAACCCCGCUUUAUGGGAAUAUUCUGGGGAUAAACUAGGUGUCUAAGGGCACAUGCGUCCUUAACACAAGGCGCUGGGCACUCAGAUACCUAUAAAUACCCCCGCACAGUGCCCGUGAGAGGCUAGAUCAACAGAGCUAUUGCCCCCCGUGCGCGUAACCCUGCUGUCACCACCGUUCACCCUUGUUGGCUUCCUUGCCGCUGAGAGCAAGUGCCAACAUUAUGCUUAUUACUAAACUUGUUGAAGAGAUGAAAUAGAACCAAGGUCUAUCUUUUUGAUCAGAGGUUAAAUCGAUCAUCAGAAGAAGAAUUAGGCCAAAAAUUAGGAUACAUUCUGGGAAAAUGAAACUUCCAUGGAAGAGAAGCAAAUGAAACGCUUUCAUAAAAAUUCUCGUAGAAUCGAGAAUGAAGUUUUCAUUCUGUACAUGCCAGAUCAUGAAUUAGUAACUGCAGUCAAUCUCCGAAAAGUCCCGAUUGUUUCGAUUUUUGGAAUGGGAUAUUUACGGAAUCCCUAUGAAUAGGAUCAAACCUUAUUCCAUGCUAUUUCCAUAAGAUUCCUCUUUCUUAUUCUUAAGCAAGCCCCCGAGAGGGCUUAGUUGAUCAUGAUUUCUGUUUUAGUGUGACAAAUCAUUGUUGUUCCAUCUAAUUCAGCAACCUCAAACACCAUGGAGUCCACUGCGCCAACGUGGUCUAAAAAACGACCUAAUGCUUGCAGAGCCAAGAACGUCGUGCCAUGCUUGGGCUGUAGCCUCGGUCCAUAGUGCUGGCCGGCCUGACAUGAUUAAUUUUUUAUUUUACAAAAAGAGUAUAUACUUAUAUACAAUUUAUAUUUAAUAUUAAAAAUAUCUGAGCAUGAUGUUCUACUGGUUAGACAACUUCACCUAGUGUCUUCGAUCUUUCUUCCAUUAGGGCAUGGGUUUGAACCCCACAUCAUGCACUGUUUUUUAACAUUUUACGCUGAUUUAAUCAAAUGGGCCGACGAGCUAACGGGCUGGGCCGGCAUAGCCAGUAGACCGGUAUGACGUGUCUGGGCCAGAGUUGUGGCCCGCGGGCGUCUGGCCCGUGCCGGACCGCCGUUUGGCCAUCUAUAGGCGUGCAACGGAUUAAUUUGAAAUAGCUGUGAGUGAUUAUUUGUAAAAAAAUGACGCGAGACGACCGUUGAUACUGAUGUUUUAAGUAUAGUAUAGAUAUAGAUUACGUGUAUGUGAUUUGCAGUAAGCAUAGACGUCUAUGGGAGAAACAUGAAACCUGUGUCUGUGAUGUGAGUUAAGAUCCACAUGUGUUUUCUUAUACAAUGCCAACUCAUUAUUAAAUCUAACACAAAGUGUGCAGCUUCCCGGCGAACGCUGUAAACUAAAACAGCUCUAAAUUUCAAGUCGUUUAUCCGUUUUUUUGUAACCUUUUCAUGUUGUUUUGAGCCGUUAGAUGCUCAAUGAAUCAAAUUGUGAUGGUCUUUUUUAAAAAUUUCGGUCAGGCGCUCUUUGCUCUAUUCUAGGCCGUAGACCAUCUCAGAUUAGUAAGAAGGAGCGAAACAUGAGGACAAGGAGUAUAAUCCCAAGGGAAGAGACGACAGCGAGCGGACCAUGGCAACCCGAGCAAUGGAGGAGGGCCGUCAUUUCCGUCGUCCAUGCAUGCAUGCAGAGCCACCGAAGCCACCCGUCCCACCUUGUAGGAGUAGUAUUUAUCUGCCUUCGUUGCACAGACCCUGCGAUCGACUAAAAAAACCAGCAGCUAGCUAGCGAUGGCUGGAGCCUGGGCACUGCUCAUCGUCCUCGCGGCUGCCGUCGCGGUCCUGGCCGCGCGGCCGGCGUCUGCAGGCGGGGGAGCCGCGGCGGUGGCGGAGAUCUGCAUGAAGACUCCGUCCCCCGACCUGUGCACCAGGACGGCGGGGAAGCACGCCAACAAGUACAAGGUGGUGGACGCGGUGACGGUGCUAGAGAUGCAGGUGGACGCGUUCAAGAAGCGCGUGAAGGCGGCGCGGAGGCUCGCCAAGGAGGAGGUCAAGACGGCCGCGACGCCCGAGGCGCGGAGGGCGCUGAACCUCUGCAAGACCUACUACCUGGACGCCGCCGACAACCUCGGCGCCUGCAAGCGCGCCAUCGGCUUCCGCGACGCCGUCACCAUCCGCGCCACGAUGAGCAUGGUGGCGCAGGACACGCAGAACUGCGACGAGGAGUUCAGGAAGGCCGUCUCCAAGAACCCCAUGGAGGACCACAACAGGUCGCUCAUCGAGAUGUCCGAGAUCUGCCGCACGCUCUCCAACAUGAUCCCUUACGAACAUGUCCAUUGAUUUGUUUGUUUCUUUUUCCCGACCCCCUACUACGUUCGGUAACGUCGUCGUCGUCGUCGUCGUCCGGCCUAAAACAUAUGUAAUUUGAUGCUGGUCGCGUGUGUCUGUCAGUCGAUAGACUGGACGCAUGCCGACUUCAUGCGGACCUAGCGCGUGUCCUUCUUUUCGGUGUUGCCUCUUGCGGCGUGGCACAUGUCUUGAGACCGUGGGAUGAAACGGCUCGUUGAGACUUGAGAGGCACGCGUGUAGGGCAGCCUAUAUAUAUGAUUCUAUAACAUGCUAAUUUGUGCUUCUUUAUUACUAUAUAUAUAGCCAUUCAUCAAUCAAUUCAACUAGAAACAUUCCUCAGUUAUAGGGGUGUUUGGUUUAUAGGGACUAAACUUUAGUCCCUCCACUUUAUUCCAUUUUAGUUCAUAAAUUGUUAAAUAGGGAAAUUAAAAUAGAGUUUUAGUUUCUAUAUUUAGUAAUUUAGGGACUAAAAUAGAAUAAAAUGGGGGACUAAAAAUUAGUCCCUAGAAACCAAACACCCCCUAUAUUUGCAGCAUAAAACACUGUGUGCUGUGAUGCUGUCCGCUGAUCUUCUCUUCGUGUUCGCCUGAACUGGGUUGCGGGGGCAACGGGCAUAAUAUUGCCAGCAAAUCGACCUCUUGAGCCUGGUGACGCAGGACCGAGCUACUCAUAGCGUUGGUACAAAGAUUAUUUGUGAUAUAAGAAUACAAAUAUGGUGAAAUUCGACUGCUGCCAUCAUUAUUCUACUUUUACUAGUUAGUUGCCGGUACAUCAUGGCGGUUUUUAUAUAUGAUAUAUAAUUUCUUUGUACAAUAUAAACCAACAUAAGUUAUGGCGGUUAGAGACGAGUGCUCUCUUUCUAGAGACCACGGUUCAAAUCUGUGCAGUCCAGAGUUCAAGUAACCGUUUUAAUUUACUCAGAAACCACCCGCCACCGGAAACAGUAAAUCAUGCGAAAACCACUAGUUUUGUCAAAAAACAGACCAAUUUACAAUUCAAAUUCUGGUAAAAAAACAUCGGUAAACCAUCCAUCCCCACCGAUUUUCUUGUGAACUGAACCGGAAAAUGUUGUCCACAUGGGAAAAUAAAAAUUUUGAUAAAGUUUAUUUGUAAUUUGUUGAAAUCAUACUACACAACAGAUAAAAAUAGAUUCACACAACAUUUGAACACCAAAAUCAAAUACAAUAUACAUAUGCAACCAGAAACUAUAAUUCUUUUUAGAUGGUCAGGGGGACAUAGUUCCCCACCUCUAAAUAUAUUGAAGCUUUUCAGGCUACCCAGAAAACAACAAUUAGACUUCUCAAUACAAAAAAGCAAUUUUAUUUACAGUUUUCCCACGACACAUAGGUCCACAUAUUCAGCUUGAGUCAUAAUAGUCAGGCAUGUUGGAAGGAUCAUGUUAUAUGCCCAUUCCGUAUAUAUAGUGCUAUACAAAGGUAUGAAAUAAAUUAGCGAGAAAACAUCAAUGCCAAAGAAAUAGUUAAUGAAGAAACAAAAGAAACACACUUGGACGCCUGUAGAAGCAUAUGGAUCCAAAGUGAUAGAAUAUAUGUGGCCUCGGUUCAUGUUUGAUACAUAUUUGACAAAUUUGAGUAUGGGAGUGGAGGGGUGUGUCGGUGUUUUGGGUCCGACCGCACACCCGGGGUUGCCCCUCAAGGUGCUUUUAGGAGUAGGACGGUGCCGACGACUGUAGCAAAAUGGUUCGUGCCGAUCGCACGAGGGACAAUGGACAAGAUUUGCAGGUUCGGGCCGCUUAGAAGUGCGUAACACCCUACGUCCUGGUGAGUAUAUGAGCGUGGUUACAAGAGGAUUCUCUGGAUAGAGGGCGCAGAGAGUUUUUGUGGGUGGCUUAGUAGAACAGGGUCGAUCGAUCUGAAGGGGUGCCCCCUAGGCCUUAUAUACUCGACCGUGGGGCAGUACAUGUGAUACGAUAACAACAAGUAGCUAGAAGAUAGUGAACCCCUUGAGCUUAUCCCUACGUAACCUUCGCCGACUUAUCCUCGCAUGGCUCUGUUGCAUGAGGGCUUCAGCGCGGGAAAGUCGGGUCUCUGUUGUGAUCCGUUCGUUCGACGUUGUGGGCCGCCUGUGUUUGCAUUAAUUAGUCUCACGUCUCCUUUGUUGGCUGUCUCUCCCUAGGCCCACGAAAGAAUGACCUUACGAAUUAUUGGGCCCUUGGGCCGUUCGUGAGGCCUUUUACUUCUUUAGUGGACCCAGGGGAUAUCUAUCCCCCACAAGCCCCCGAUCUUUGGGUUGAUUUAGAGGUAAUCAACUCAAAGAUCCAAGGCCCAAAAAAUGAUUCCUUGCUGCUCCUCUGGUUUUGAUCACUCGUCCGACCGAAGUUCGGCUUUGUGCUUGUGCCUUAGAGGUCGGCAUUUUGGAUUGUAAGACUCUGGAAUUCAUUGGGUGCACCGGGGGUGCACCCAAUGGGUGUAGCCCCCAACCUUUGAGUAGAUUUUAGAAGAUAAUCUACUCGAAGGUCUUCUUCCAAAGGUUAUCUUCAUUCGUACUCCUGCAUUUCGGUUAAGGAUUAGUCUUUUCGAUCUUGCUCUACGCCUUAGAAGUCGGCGCUAUACCGGUUUAGAAUAAUAUUCCAUGGGGUGCACCGGAGGUGCACCCAAUGGGUGUAGCCCCCGACCUUCAAAUGAAUUUUUUAAGGAUAAUCCAUUCGAAGGUUUUCCUUUCACUUGCGGAAACUGGCAUGAGGCUAUUUUGCAUUAUGCUUUGGAGGUCAGCAUUAUGUCAUCAAUAUUUUGCUGCCCAGGUCAGCGUAUAUUUUGUCUUUAGCAGCCGAGUUUGCAAUCCAUCCAUAUCUUGCUAGGUAGUGCAAUUUAUUUGCUUCUGCGAUUGAUUGGACGUUUGACGGACGUUCUCUGUCUAGUCUUCACGUCGCUUCUGUCGGCCAUAUCUUGUACUUUGCUGGUUAUAUUUGGCUUUCCUCUGAUCCUUACUGAUAUCUCAUUUUUGUCUUGAGGUAUUCACUGCAUGCUCUGCACAGAUGUGACCGUUUGAAAAAUAUACCGAUAAUUCCUGGGCGUCCCCCCCAAUGGGUGUGGGCAAGGGACGGCUUGGUGCGCUGAGUGUUUUAGCCGGUUGCCUCUGAGUAGUAAUGCGAUGGGACGGCUAGUGUAAUCAUAUCCUUCGCGCUGUUGACUGGAGUCCCAAUGGGUGUAGUGUUGCAUGAAACGGCGUCCGCCGUCUGACGUGUCUUCGGGUGGGUGGAAGUGCUUAUUGAAUGCCUUGCGACUGUUCAGUGACCGCGGUUAGAAGUGAGCGGUUGCCUUUCCCUUCUAUAAAUAACCCCUUUGCUUCUCUGGUUUCUUCACAUCUCUUCGCUGCUCCUUACUGCUUCUUCCCUUUCUUCUCUCCCAAAGCUUUAACCAUGGGCAAGAACAACAAGCGUAAGCGUGAACCGACUCCUCCAUCGGAGGAGUUUGGUGACUCGGAGUACUCGGAGGAGGAGUUCUCCUCCGAGCCCGAGGGGUCUUCGGCUCCCGUCUCUCCCCCGGCGUCGUCCGAUGACUCGGACGACUCCCAGGGGAUAGCCGCGGAGGUCUGGACAUACAUCCGGGCCGUCGAGCGCGCCGGGCUCGAAGGCUCGGAUGAGUCGGAGUACUCCUCGGAUGAGGAGGACUCGGACGGCGGCGACGAGGGUGAAGACGACGACGACGACGACGACGAUGAUGACGACGACGGCGGCAGCAGUGGCAGGGGCGGCGGCGACGGCAGGGGCAGCACCAAGGGCAGCAGCAGGGGCAGCACCAAGGGCAGCAACGGCGGCAGCGGGGACAGCACCAGGGGCAGCAGCAGGGGCAGCACCAAGGGCGGCGGCGGCGGCAGGGGCAGGGCCAGUGGCUAGGUGCCACUGGUCUUCUUAGAUAUUAGUAUAGUUUAGUAUAGAUAAAAUAAUGUAGUAGUAAUUAGUGUAGUAUAAUGUAGUUUAGUAGUAGUAGUAAUGUAAAGUAGAAUUAGGGAAGUACCAACUCAUAAAGAGUUGGUUUGUAAGCUUGUCAACUUCCCUUUAAUGAAGAUUGCCGUUUUAUCCCUUCUUUUUGAUGACUUGUCACUGCUUUUGCUGAAUGUUGAACCGAUUCUUUUGAUAUAGUAGCAACAGCGCCGAGCGAUUGUGAAGAUUGAUAUCAGCGUUUUAGAAGUAACACUGAGCAAUCGAACACAAGAUCAGCGUUUUAGAGGCAAUGCCGAGUGAUAGAAGGUCGGCAUCGGCAUUUUAGAAGUAAUGCCAAGCGACAAAAUACGGGGUCGGCGCUUUAGAUGCAGCGCCGAGUGAUUGAUGGUCGGCGUCGGCAUUUUAGAAGUAAUGCCGAGCGAUUGAACACGUGGUCGGCGUUUCAGAGGCAGCGCCGAGUGAUUGAUGGUCGGCGUCGGCAUUUUAGAAGUAAUGCCGAGCGAUUGAACACGUGGUCGGCGUUUUAGAGGCAGCGCCGAGUGAUUGAAGGUCGGCGUCGGCAUUUUAGAAGUAAUGCCGAGCGAUUGAACACGUGGUCGGCGCUUUAGAGGCAGCGCCGAGUGAUUGAAGGUCGGCGUCGGCAUUUUAGAAGCAAUGCCGAGCGAUUGAACACGUGGCCGGCGUUUUAGAGGCAGCGCCGAGUGAUAGCCAGCUUCUCAAGUUAAUCUGAGGAAAACGGCUGAGUGAUGAGGUGGCACAUCGGCUUUCUUGGAAAUAACUGUUAGAUAUCCACGUGGCAUGCUGGGAUUUCGGAGAUGACCGCCGGGUGAUGACUGGGCACUUUUGAAAAGGUAUCUGGCUCAAGAAUAUCCCUUAAGAGUCGCGCUUUUAGCCGCCUUUGCUUUCCGUGCCCUAGUUCUUGCAUUUCCGCAUCUGAGUCUUCUCUGCCACUCACCUCCUGCUCUGUUUCGCCAGCGAGAGACAAGAUGGCGCCCAAGAGGAAAACCGCGAACUCGUCUGCUGCAGUGAUCCCCACCAUCGACCCCAACAGUCAGUUACCCUUCGCAGGUAACCAUAUGUCUGUGAUUUCUGAAGUUGAGCUUCUCCGCCUUGUUUCCAUCGGGGUUCUCCCUCCACGGGAACUCUGUUCUUGGCGUUCUUGCCAUGGGACCACUGUCCCAACCGAAGAUACCCACGAGUCAGUGGUUUACACUCCUUUUCUUCUUCGCGGCCUCGGCCUUCCCAUAUCUCCUUUUUUCCGUGGUAUCCUUGAUUUUUAUCACAUCAACCUGACUCACUUGAACCCUAACUCCAUUCUCCAAAUCUCUAUUUUCGUUCACCUUUGCGAAGCUUAUCUUGGCGUGCUUCCGCAUUUUGGCUUGUGGAAGUAUCUGUAUCACUGCCGUCCUGGGAUGGCCGGGGGGCAGCAUCAAUUGGUCGGAGGUGCCAGUUUAGAGAUGCGCCGGGGGCGGAAGACCGAGUAUCUCGAGAUACCCCUCAAGGACAGCAUUAAAGGUUGGCGUCUGGAGUGGUUUAUAAUGGAUAAUUAUGGAAAUUCUCUCCCUCCUCGCUCAGGGAGACAGGCAGACGUUCGUACUCCGAGUUGGACUGAGUCUCCCACGGACCAAGAGGUAGCCGAGGCGGGCGUGUUGCUCACUGAGGUUGGAUUACUGAAAGAGAGAGGUCUGACUGCCGAAGCCGUGGUCACAGACUUUGUUUUCAAAAACAUUCAGCCGCUGAAGGACAGGGCCUAUCCGGCAUAUCUUUACCGAGGGCUGGCCGACUCGACUCGAGUUACUAAUAGGAGAAUUCCUUCUGUUGAUUUGGUGAGCCGACUCGAGAUGAUCCUCAGGGGUAAGGUUUCAAACGUUGGAGCUCCAGUGGCAUACUCGGCUUGGAAGCUGCCUUCUCCCAAAGAUUUCAUUCUUUUUGUGUCCAAUCCGCCCGUGACAGAUAGCAAUUUGGGUCUUAGAGUUCGACCUUCUGCUGAAGAGGUCCGUUCCUUAGUUGCUUCGCUCGGGGAGAUACCUGAUGAUGAACGGCAGAUUUAUUUUGAAGUGCCCCUGAACCCUAGUGACGCAGACAUAAAUGACAUGCUCGAUCUGCUAGCUGAGGAUUCAUCUGAUACUGCUCCUGAUGGUACAUUGGCAGUGGUGCCGCUUCCAGAGGUUGAUGCGACCUUGGAUGUCUCGAAACCUGCCGAUACUCGCCCGAGGCGUCCCAGCCGAACUAGUCAGCCCGAGCCUUCUGCUGAUGAGCAGAAAAGGAAAAGAAGACGCCUCCGGCGAGUGUCUAGCUUUGAUGAGGAUGCCAGCACCUUAGCUCCUACUGCUGAAGAAGUGACUACAACUGGUCUUGCUGACAUUGAUCCCAAUGGGUGUGCUCCGCCCGCUGCUGAUGAGGAUGCUGUUUGUGCUGUUGCUGUGGAAGAUGAGGAGGAAGAGAAUGAAACUCCAUUAACUCGGAAGAACAGUCGUCAGUUCGUCGCUAGCGGUGGUAGUAGUGGGGUUCCUUCUCCUGCCUUGUCUGCUCUUAUUGGUCUGCAAGAACUGUCCAUGGCCAAUUUUGAUCAAGCUCUAGAGGAUAUGGUCCCUGAGAACUUGCUGUUGGAACCUGCGGACGUUGAUGCAACAGAAACUUGUGCAGCCGUGCCAGAUGCUGGGUUGAGGUCAUCCCGUGCCUCGUCGACCUUAGAGCACGAUCUCGAGGGCCGGGAUAAUGACUUGGACCGUCCUGAUCCUGUGGAAACAGCUGAAGGCCCGUCGACCUUAGAGGUGGUCACGACAGAGAGCUUGGAUCCUUUGAAUAGUGCUGACAUGUGCCCAGCCCCCGAGGGUGUCGCCGGGGAGGGCUCAACUCAGGCGAGGAGUGUAGGCCACUACCCAGCCCCCGAGGGUGUUGCCGGGGGUGACCCGGCUCAAGUGGGCAGUGCCAACCUUGACCCAGCCCCCGAGGGUGUCCGAGCGGGGUCUCCCUCCUGCACUUCCAUGGAUGUUCAUGUGGGUUCACCUCCACACUCUGGCGGCAUGAUGGUGGCUCGGACUCCGGAUCAGGGGGUCGCUUUGGAGGGCAGCAUCCCCACUGGUCUGGAGUUAAACUCUGCUGAAUGUACUGAGCUUGUUCCUGCUGGUCUGCUGCAACCUGCUUCGAGUGGUGGUCUGGCACCUGGUCAUCAGCCGAUUUCGAAUGAUUUGGGGAUCCCUUCGCUUUUCUCCAACCUCCAGGUGCUGUGCUGUGCUUUAGUUGGAUCUUUAUGUUGCGUGAAUUGUUGCCAUUAUGAUCAUCCGCUCUUCUUAUCAGGCUUUGGUGGAUGGAAUGGUCGGCCAGCUGAAGUCGCAGGGUGCUUCCAUCCCGGAGGUGGCUUCAUCUCUUGAGCGUUGGAAUCCGGUGUUGCUUCGGAGUCGUGUAUCUGAGUUGGAGGCCGCCAAUGCUGGUUAGUGUCCUUUCUUCUUCUCCUUUGUUCUUGCCCGUGGAUUGUUUUACCUUCUGACCUCAUUUUGUUUGAAUACUUGUUGAUAGGGAUGACUCGGCAGAUCACAGUUCUUGAAGAAAAACACUCUCAAGAUCAAGCCGAAAUGGCUCGACGAUGCGCUGACUUCGAGGAGAAGUAUUCUCAAAGUCAGAUCGAGUUGAGUCAGGUCUCUACGGCUUUGGAUGAUGCCAACGCUCUGAGUUCCUCCCUUCAUGUCCAGCUUGACUCUGAGAAGGUAGCUUACGAAUCUGUGCUUCGCCUUAUGAUGUUCUUGGAUUCUGAAUGAGUUGAUUUUUGCUUGUAGGAGGAAAAACGCAUCCUUGCCGCUUCUCGCGAUAACUUGGACAGAUUGUACCGAGAUUCCAGCAACUCGCUGACCAUCUUGGAGAGGAGCCACCGUUUUACUAUGGAGGAGCUUGACAAUCAGCGCCGUCAACUGCAAGAAUCCUCGGAUGAAGUAGCCCGCCUUACACAGUUGCUAUCGGCAAAGGAUGCCACCAUCAAGGGACUCCGAGCUUCUAAGAAAUCCAUUGCUCAGGAGUUAGAAACUGCUCAGCAGGCUGUUAAAGUUGCUGAAGAAGCUGCUGUCACUUUUAAAGCUCAGCGCGAUAAGGCCCUGGACAAGGCCAUUCGAGCAGGACGAAUCUUGAUGAGAAGACCCGGCGUGGCUGUCCCUGAAGAUAUAAAAGCCGACGUGAAUGCUGCCCCUGAUUCCUCGAAUCGCCCUUCUUCGUCAGUCGUUCCUGAGAAAGACAUUAGAAAAUAAAGAAACAGUUCGCGUGCUCUGAGCGCGCAGUUAGCAUGAUCAAGUAUCGACUUAUCAUUCGAAUGACGUUAUUACUCCCUUAUUGUAUCAGAAAUUAUUAGUUUGCAAGUUUGUGGUAACGCUGUAUGAUGAUUAUGAAGUUUGUUUGUGGGAUAUGGAGAUCAUCCCUUGAACUGCAUAAGUGUGAGUAUGCUAUACUGGUUCAAACCAUCAAUUACUUUUAGCCGGUAACUUCCGUUAGUAGGGCAUAGUGGUCACCCCCGGUAGAGUAAGCGUGAGCAUGUUGCACCGCCUCAAGUCGUUGCCGACUUAAGUCGAUUGCUCCGUUCGUAGGGCAUAGUGGUCACCCCGAGUUAAGUAAGCGUGAGCAUGUUGCACCGCCUUAAGUCGUUGCCGACUUAAGCCGAUUGCUCCGUUCGUAGGGCAUAGUGGUCACCCCGAGUUAAGUAAGCGUGAGCAUGUUGCACCGCCUUAAGUCGUUGCCGACUUAAGCCGAUUGCUCCGUUCGUAGGGCAUAGUGGUCACCCCGAGUUAAGUAAGCGUGAGCAUGUUGCACCGCCUUAAGUCGUUGCCGACUUAAGCCGAUUGCUCCGUUCGUAGGGCAUAGUGGUCACCCCGAGUUAAGUAAGCGUGAGCAUGUUGCACCGCCUUAAGUCGUUGCCGACUUAAGCCGAUUGCUCCGUUCGUAGGGCAUAGUGGUCACCCCGAGUUAAGUAAGCGUGAGCAUGUUGCACCGCCUUAAGUCGUUGCCGACUUAAGCCGAUUGCUCCGUUCGUAGGGCAUAGUGGUCACCCCGAGUUAAGUAAGAAUGCAAGUCAAUCAUAAAUGAGUCAAGUAUCUUUGAAAUCUCUCUUUAUUGAUGACAUAUUUCCUUUAUACAGAAUACAUGGUCACCCUGGCUGUUUUGAGAUACAGCUAUGGGUAAAACUUUCGGAGGUGCUCUAUGUUCCAGGAGUUCCCGACUUCUGUACCAUCCAUUUGGGUGAGGCGAUAUGAUCCGGGACGAGUGACUUCUGCUACUAUGAAAGGUCCCUCCCAUAAGGGUGAUAACUUGUGCCGUCCCUCCCCCGUUAGAAUUCGGCGGAGGACGAGGUCUCCCAUCGAAAAGAAACGUUGCCGCACAGCUUUGUCGUGGUAGCGCCUUAGAGUCUGCUGGUAUCGUGCUGAUUGAAUCACCGCAUUCAGUCGCUCUUCCUCGAGUACGUCGAUAUCCUCCAGCCUAGUGGCUUCGGCUUCUGCUAUGCUUUCGAAGAUCAAUCUUGGCGCCCCAAACUUGAGAUCAGCAGGUAGCACUGCCUCCGACCCAUAGACCAUAAAGAAAGGAGUGUUUCCAUGCAGGGCCCGGCUAGGUUGAGUUCUCAAGCUCCAAACAACAUAAGGCAAUUCUCUUAUCCAUUUUCCUGCGAAUUUUUCAUUUUUGUCAAAGACCCUUUUUCUGAGUGCCUCCAAUAUCAUUCCGUUGGCUCGCUCAACCUGCCCGUUGGCUCUUGGAUGGGCUACAGAUGCAUACUUGAUCUGAAUGCUUUUUUGCUCGCAGAAGUCAAAGAAUUCUGAACUGGUGAAGUUGGAUCCCAAGUCGGUGAUGAUACUGUUGGGUAUCCCAAAUCUGAAUAUUAUGCUUUGUAUGAAUUCCACGGCUUUAGCAGAGGUUAAGGAGGCAAUGGGCUGAAACUCUAUCCAUUUAGUGAACUUGUCAAUUGCCACCAAUACAUGGGUGUAUCCUCCUUGAGCUUUCUUGAAAGGUCCAAUCAUAUCCAAUCCCCAGCAUGCAAAAGGCCAAGUUACUGGUAUGGUUUGUAGCUGCUGUGCUGGCAUGUGCUGUUGUUUUGACAGGUACUGGCAGGCUUCGCAUCUCUGAACUAGCUCGGCUGCAUCAUUCUUUGCCGUCGGCCAAUAGAAUCCUGACCUGAAAACCUUCCCGACUAAUGUUCUGGAUGCUGCAUGUACCCCGCACUGCCCUGCAUGGACUUCCUCCAGAAGUUGUUUCCCGGUGGACGGGAGAACGCACUUCAUGAGGACGCCUGACGCGCCCCUCCGGUAUAACACCUCCCCAAUGAGUGUAUAGUGAGCUGAUUGUCUGGCAAUACGCUCUGCCGAAUUCUUGUCAUCCGGCUCUUCUUCAUUCUUUAUAUACUUAAUAAUCGGUUGCCUCCAGUCAUCAGAGUCUGACUCGGGUUGGUCUAUGAUGUUGCACUCUUCUAUUUGAUCCGUCGAGAUGCUCGGCUGAUUGAUUUCUUGCAUGAAGACCCCGGGCGGGACUUGAGUCCGACCGGAUCCGAGCUUGGACAGUACAUCAGCCGCCGUGUUCCGAUCUCUUUCUAUAUGAUGAAACUCCAGGCCUUCGAAUUUAUCUUCUAGCUUUCGGACGGCGGCGCAGUAUCUUCCCAUUGAAUCACUUGAACAAUCCCAUUCCUUGUUUAUCUGACUGAUGACUACCAGAGAAUCCCCGUACACCAUCAGUCUCUUGACACCCAGCGAUAUGGCGAUGUUUAAUCUGUGUAUCAAAGCUUCAUACUCGGCUGCGUUGUUAGAGGCCGGGAAUAGCAAUUGGAGAGCGUACUUGAGGUGUUCGCCUCCAGGUGCAGUGAAGAGAAUUCCUGCUCCUGCUCCCUGCAGCUUCAGCGAGCCAUCAAAAUACAUUCGCCAUACUUCUGUGGUUUCUGGAUUAUCCGGCACUUGCUGUUCUGUCCACUCUGAUACGAAGUCGACCAGUGCUUGAGUUUUGAUGGCGGUGCGAGGUCGGAACUCGAUAUCAUGGGACCCCAACUCGCAAGCCCACUUGGCUAUUCGGCCAAUGACUUCCUUGUUGUGAAGAAUGUCCCCUAUUGGAAAACCAGUAACUACUGUGACUUUGUGGUCGUCAAAGUAGUGGCGCAGUUUGCGGGCAGUUAGAAGUACUGCAUAUAAUAGCUUCUGAACUUGAGGAUACUUUUUCUUCGAUGGGCCUAGAACCUCACUGAUGAAAUAGACGGGAUGUUGUACCGGGUAGGCAUGCCCUUCUUCCACUCGCUCGACUACCAACGCAGUGCUUACCACGUGAGUCGUGCAAGAGAUAUAUAACAGCAGAUCUUCAGCCGGCUGAGUCGGCGUAGCUCGCCGGGGCGGUUUCAAUACUGGCGGCGUCGUCAGGAAUUUCUUCAGUGCGUCUAGGGCUUCCUGUGCCUCUGAAGUCCAUUGAAACUUAUCCACCUUCUUCAGCAGUUUAUAAAAUGGCAGACCUUUUUCUCCCAGCCUGGAUAUGAAUCUGCUCAGGGCUGCCAUACAUCCAGUGAGUCGCUGAACCUUCUUUUGCGAUCGAGGAGCUUCCAUCUUCAUGAUAGCUUCAAUCUUAUCUGGAUUAGCUUCAAUUCCCCGGUGGCUGACAAUAAAUCCGAGUAACUUUCCUGCUGGUACCCCGAAGACGCAUUUCUCAGGAUUGAGCUUCCAUCUAUAUCUUCUCAAGCUGUUGAAAACUAGCUGUAAGUCUUCGAUGAAAUUUUCCGGAUUCUCCGUUUUGAUCACCACAUCGUCCACGUAAGCUUCCACACGCUUGCCCCAGUGAUCGGCUAAGCAUGUUUGAAUAGCUCUCUGAUAAGUCGCUCCAGCGUUUUUGAGGCCGAACGGCAUGGAGGUGUAACAGAAAGCACCAAACGGGGUGAUGAACGCCGUUUUUUCUUCGUCUUCUUUUGCCAAACUAAUCUGAUGAUACCCGGAAUAGCAAUCUAAGAAAGACAGCAUCGAACAUCCAGCGGUGGAAUCCACCACCUGAUCUAUCCUUGGGAGCCCGAAGGGAUCCUUCGGACAGUGUUUGUUGAGAUCGGUAUAGUCGACACACAUGCGCCAAUCCACUUUAUUCUUUUUGAGUACAAGAACAGGGUUGGCUAACCACUCGGGGUGUAAUACUUCUCUAAUAAAUCCGGCCGCGACCAGGCGGGCCAACUCGGCACGAAUGGCUUCUCUCUUGUCGGGCGUGAAACGACGCAGCUUUUGCCGGAUCGGCCUCGCCUGGGGAUAGACCUUCAAUUUGUGCUCGGCCAGUUCUCUUGGGACUCCCGGCAUAUCCGCAGGUUGCCAUGCGAAUACGUCUCGGUUAUCUUGCAGGAACUGGACGAGCGCGCUUUCCUAUUUGUCACUCAAACUGGAGCUGAUGAUGGCCGUCUUGCGCUCAUCAGCGAACCCCAGGUUGAUCCGCUUGGUGUCCUCAGUCGGCCGCAUAGAGGUCGCGGCCUGAGCUUCGUUUGCCGGCACGGCGAGGUCUUCAUCAGGCUUAGAGUUCGCCGGUGUAGAAGGAACCGUUGACGGCUUGGUGGUGAGGGCUACUUGGAUGGCCACUCGGAAACAUUCCGCGGCGCCUUGGAAGUCAGCGCGCACAGUUAUGAUUCCUUGUGGUCCGGGCAUCUUCAGUAUCAUGUACGUAUAGUGUGGGAUGGCCAUGAACUUGGCCAGCCCUGGCCUCCCGAUGAUGGCGUUGUACCCGCAGUCGAAGUUCGCCACCUCGAACCUCAGGAACUCGGUUCUGUAGUUAUCCGGAGUCCCGAAGGUGACCGGCAUGUAGAUGUGGCCCAGCGGGUAUUCCCCUUCCGUCGGCACGAUGCCGAAGAAAGGAGUGUCUGACUCAUGGAGCUCUUUGAGGUGAACUCCCAAGCCUUGAAGCGUACGGGGGAAGGUGACAUUGAUGCUGCUCCCCCCAUCCACUAGCACCUUCUUCACCCGGCUCUCUCGGAUCACCGGAUCGACGAGGAGCGGGUAUUUGCCCGGGUGGUCGAAGUUGAGCCAUUGAUCAUCCCGAGUGAACGUGAUUGGGUGCUCCGACCACCGGUAUGGGGCGGGAGGGCCGGUGGUCGCCACCAAUAUCUGCCGGUCGUUGAGCUUUUGUUGUCUCUUGUUCUCCUGCGACCCAUGUCCGCCGAAGAUGACGUUGACCUCCCUGUCAACGCGCGGGAAAGCUCCUCCUCCCCCCUCCUCCGGCUGAUGGGGCUGUCGUGGUUCAUCUGGUCCUCCCCUCGGCGGAGGAGGUGGUAGAGGUUGGAAGGGUCGGCCAUGCCCGACGGAGUGCUUGAAGUCCCGGCAGUUGCGGAGAGUGUGGCGCAUAUCCUUGUGGUACGGGCACUGGGCGUCGAGGAUGUCGUCCAGCGUGCGUUCGCCUCCACGAGGUCCUCCUCGGGCGCGAGAGGCGGGUGGUCCGGCGGCGUGUACCUCUUCGCGAGGCCUCUUCUCCCAGCGCUUGUCGGGCGGCUGGUUCGCGUCGCGUCGUGGUGCCGCCGGUGCGGGUUUUGCUCCUCCGAUGAGGUCCUGGGCCCGCUCGUCAGCGGUGAUGUAGAGGUCGGCUUCCCGGAAUAGCUCCUCGGAGGUGGUUGGCGCCUUUUGCAGUAUGGCUCGGACGAAAGCCGAGUCAUUAGAUCCUCUGUAGAAAUCCUCGAUCACGGCCACCUCCGUGACCUCGGGGAUGCGGUUUCUCAUGGUCUGGAACCUUUUAAGGUAUGACCGGAGAGUCUCAUCCCCCCGGCGCUUGAUGGAUUUGAGGUCCCAUGGUUGCGCUGGCUUGUCGGAGAGAGACUGGAAGUUGGCGGUGAAACGUCGGCUGAAGUCUCCCCAGUCAUCGAUGCAGUGUCGGGGUAGAUGUCGUAGCCACUGCAGCGCGUCUUGCCCGAGGACGAUGGGCAGAUACGCAGUCAUGACGUCCUCGGAUGCCCCGGCAGCCUGAGCAGCGGUGGUGUAGACGGCUAACCAGCCCCCUGGAUCCUGCUUAGGUUCAUAUUUGUCGACAUUGGAUACCUUGAAGUUGGGAGGCCAUUGGAUGGCCCUAAGGCGCGGAGUAAGAGCAGAUACUCCGCACGUGUCCUCCUGUCGUCGAGGAUGUCGUCUGUCCCGGGGAGGGGAGUGGCGGUGGUGGUUCCUCGACCGUCCCCGGGUGGUUCCACCAGUUGAAGCUGUUGCCGACUCAGUUCGGGUGGCCUGGCUUUGAGUCGGGAAGCCAUGAUCUCGGUCAUACUCCUCCCGACGACGAAUUUCGUUCUCGUGCCGCCGUUCGCGCGAAGCAUUGAUAGAGCUUCGCGCGUCUCGGCGACUGUUGAUGGCGUGUCGCAGAUCGUUCGGCGGGUGGGCGAGCGGUAGAAGAUGGUUGGCUGCCUGAGUGAGCAGGCGCCGGUAUCCCUCGGCAUCGGGGGUCCGAGGAAGUCCGUCGGCUAUCCGGGCCAGAACGCCUCCGACUUCGCUCGGCGUAUUCAUAGCUCGGGCGAAGUCAGGGUUCAGGUUGCGCCCGAAGAGCGGAUUCUCGCGUCGUUGCCUUGCAUCUUGCUCGGCUUGCUCCUGAGUCCGACGGCGAUCUCGUCGUCGGGAGUUCCUUCGUUCCCUGAAGACGCGUUCUUCCGGAGUUUCUCCUAUCUCUGAGACCUCGUCUCGCGAGACAGGCUGCUCCGGAUCCCGUUCUCCAGCUGCAUGAUGUCGUCGAACGUUCCUGCGUCGGUUCCUUCGUCGGCGGGAUUCUCGCUGAGGCGGUUCUUCUCCGGGCGCAGUCGGUUCAUCGUCGGAGACGGUGGGCGAUUCUGCCCUCCCGAUGAAGAGGACGUCGGGGUAGAACGGUAUUGCCGCCGCGGCGACUUUCUUUCCGUUCUCCUUUGAGGUCGGAGGAACGGGAAGAAUGACUGGCCUCUCCUUGAUCUCCUUCCUUCUCAUGACCUGUGUUCAUUCUUUCGUCGGGGAAGUAGACAGCGGAGUCUUCCGGGUCAGCGAGCUUCUAGCUCCAGCCUCCCUGGAGGCGAUCUUGUUCCGAAGAGCCGGAGGUAGCGUUUUUCCAGCAUUUUCGGAGUUUGUUGGAGGAGACUUCUGUUCCGGUAGAUCCGCGAGGCGGUGUAGAAUUCCUUCUUCGUCCGCCACGGAUGAGAUUGUCCCGAAGCAGAAUGUGGAUCCGGGACGCAUGGUAAUCUUGCUGUGGAAGGUGACGGCCAUUGAGCUAGCUUGGAUCGUCGACACACCCCCUACCUGGCGCGCCAGCUGUCAGUGUUUUGGGUCCGACCGCACACUCGGGGUUGCCCCUCAAGGUGCUUUUAGGAGUAGGACGGUGCCGACGACUGUAGCAAAAUGGUUCGUGCCGAUCGCACGAGGGACAAUGGACAAGAUUUGCAGGUUCGGGCCGCUUAGAAGUGCGUAACACCCUACGUCCUGGUGAGUAUAUGAGCGUGGUUACAAGAGGAUUCUCUGGAUAGAGGGCGCAGAGAGUUUUUGUGGGUGGCUUAGUAGAACAGGGUCGAUCGAUCUGAAGGGGUGCCCCCUAGGCCUUAUAUACUCGACCGUGGGGCAGUACAUGUGAUACGAUAACAACAAGUAGCUAGAAGAUAGUGAACCCCUUGAGCUUAUCCCUACGUAACCUUCGCCGACUUAUCCUCGCAUGGCUCUGUUGCAUGAGGGCUUCAGCGCGGGAAAGUCGGGUCUCUGUUGUGAUCCGUUCGUUCGACGUUGUGGGCCGCCUGUGUUUGCAUUAAUUAGUCUCACGUCUCCUUUGUUGGCUGUCUCUCCCUAGGCCCACGAAAGAAUGACCUUACGAAUUAUUGGGCCCUUGGGCCGUUCGUGAGGCCUUUUACUUCUUUAGUGGACCCAGGGGAUAUCUAUCCCCCACAGGGUGUGGCUGUCCAUACUCAUACAUGCCUACUUGUUGUACUUCACGUAGAGGUCCUUGCCAUGCAUAAGAGUUGAUGUUUAGAUCUCAUUGAGCCGGAUAGUUAUUAUUAGGGCUUUCUCUUGGCGAAGGUCCUCAAAACAUUAAGUCACAAUUAUUUCUAAGUCUGUUUCGGUAUACCAAAGAAAUAAUGAAGAUCGCCUUCAUCUCAGACCUUCAUCUCGAAGACAUAGGCAAAGGCGAAGCUAAGAGCUUUGGCUUCAGAGUCUAGGCACGAAGUGAUGAACCGACUAAGAUGAAGGAAGAACCCUGAGAAUUGGUCAGCAUGCCUAUGAAGGAAACGACGACAAUGCCCUUAGGAGAUUUGUUAUUUUGUAUGUAUAGAAGUUAGUGGCAUGUUUGUAAUUUUAUACGAAGAUGUACUCUAACUGGUCACUAUAAAUAGAGGUACAAUGCCAUGCAUACAAAGACUCUUUCAGGAGGAGGGGAGAAAUCAAGAUUGUUCUGCCUCCAAAGUUAUGUCAUUUACUUACCUUCAUAAUAUUACCUUGACUCUCAAAGGUAUGUAUGUAACCAUUUGUAUUCAAGAAAGAACAAUAAAGGAGGUACAUCAAUAAUGAUCUCUCUUGAGCAUUUCUAUGUUAUUCUUGGAAGGUCUGUAUUUAUGACAAUCUUCCUCCUUCGAUCUACCCAUUGAAUAGAUCGAAGCAAUGAAGGUCUCUUAUCUUUAAUUAUGUUGCCCUAUUUUGGUCUCCUUCAGGAAUCAAAGCAGGUGACUAACAAUAGCACCCACCUCCGGUGAAUCCACGACAACAAGCAUUUCUUCGUCAUGCCUUCAAAAAAUCCACAGUUACUGGUUCUAUUCUUACUCGCAUAGAUCAGAACCAGAAUGAAUAAGCACUUAUUGAAGCACGAAGAGAGAAAAGGAAGGACACGAACCCUCCACCACUAGAUGACCUCGACCAAGAGACCCAAAAUUUGGAAGCUAUCCAUCAACAUGUUGAAAAGUGGAAGGACAAGAUGCUUCGGGUCACUCAGUUGCAACGACAAAAUUAACGAAUCAUCAAAAGAAUUGUGUCACACGAUGAGCAAGAUAAACAAUUGAAGAACUCAUAUUACCAUAGGAAUUUUCUCUUCGAAGUACAUAACCGUGAUGCCUUAUCAUAUGAUGAUUCUUCUCCUUUGGUAGCAGACUUGCAAGCCACACCAUGUUCACCAGUAUACAGGCCACCCCAACUUCAAAUGUAUGAUAGAUUGAUGGAUUCAAAGCAAAUCUUGAUGAGUUACUAAGCUAUCAUAUCUUCAUAUGGUGGUAAUUCAGUAGUUAUGGCAAAGUCAUUUGUCAUGGCAGUCAAGAAUGUAGCACAAACAUGAUAUUCUUCUCUUCGGUCAAGAUCUAUCUCAUCAUGGUAGAAACUCAAGGACCUUCUCCUCUUAAGAUUUCGUAUUAUUGCAGGAUUAGUCACCCUAUAAUGGUAACAAGACUCUAAAGACCUUCGUAUGAAGUCCUUAAAGUGGAUUGCCUCCCCUACACCCUAUUAGGGUAUGACACACCCUGCCUCUAGUGCGUCCGACAAGUGCUGGCCUUGCAACCACUCACACACUUCGAGGGCAUGGCAUGCUCGCAAAUGCCUUGACCCUAGUAUCCCCAUGUCUAACAACUUAGAAGACAAACCACUGAGAUAAGUAGGGAAAGGGUAGUGAGAGCACCUAGAGGGGGGUGAAUAGGUGAUCCUGUAAAAUUCAACACUAAAUAGCCACAAAACUUAGUUAUAGAAGUGUUAGUGCGACUAAGUAGUUGAGUAGCGAGUUCUUGUGGACAAAACAAUCACAGAGAAAGCAAUCACAAGAGACACGAGAUUUUAUCCCAUGGUUUGGCCAAGUAACACUUGCCUACUUCCACGUUGUGGAGUCCCAAUGGACGAGGGUUGCAGUCAACCCCUUUCAAGUGAUCCAAUGAUCAACUUGAAUACCACGACUUUCUUCCUUAUAGUUUUCUUCCCGUUUGCGAGGAAUCUCCACAAGUUGGAGCCUCUCGCCCUUACAAUAUUGAUCACAAAGAAUGCACAAGAGUAAGGUUGGAGAGCAACACACAAAUCCGCAGCACACACACGCACACAAGCCAAGACUUGAGCUCGAAACGAAGCACAAAGAGUUCUCAACUAGAACGGAGCUCAAAUCACUAACACAAUCGAUCAAAUGCGUGGAGACGGAGUGUGGGAGUCUUAGAAUGCUUAGUGAUUGCUUAGAUGACUCCUCCAUGCGCCUAGGGGUCCCUUUUAUAGCCCCAAGGCAGCUAGGAGUCGUUGGAGCCAACUUGGGAGGCCAAACUUGCCUUCUGUCGGGUGGUGCACCGGACAGUCCGGUGCACCACCGGACAGUCACUGUAGCUGUCUGGAGCGAGAUUGCCUUCCAAAUCAGGCGCAUCCGACCGUUGGUCCUCGGGGUCGAUUGGCGCACCGGACACAGUCUGGUGCACACCGGACAGUCCGGUGUGCCCAACCGACCGUUGCUGCGGGCCACGCGUCGCCCGCGGAUUGCGCGGCCAACCGUUGCGCUGGCGACCGUUGGCUCACCGGGCAGUCCGGUGCACCACCGGACAGUCCGGUGAAUUAUAGUCGUACGCCACCAUCGAAUCCCGAGAGCGGCGAAUUCACCGUGGACCAGCCUGGCGCACCGGACACUGUCCGGUGCACCACCGGACAGUCCGGUGUGCCAAACCGAGUUGGAGUUUGCUGCAUAUAGCCAACUCUUUUUCCAAUUCUUUUCUCACUAUUUCUAGCACUUAGACAAAACACAUUAGUACUCAAAACAAUGUACUAAGUCUAGAAACGUACCUUUUUCUUUGAUUUGCACUUCUCACUUUACUUGGCACAUAAGAACUUAAUUAACCGUAUUGGGCACUUAAUCACCAAAACAUUAUUGAAAUUGCUCAAGGGCACAUUUCCCUUUAAUUCUCCCCCUUUUUGUUGAUUUAUGCAAACACAUCCAAAAGCAACCAAAAGAAGUGCAACACCAAUGCAAUUGAGGACCAAAUUGUUUUUGCACAAGAUUUGACAUAUUUGGAUCAUUAUUUGCCACCACUUGGUUUGUUUUUGUAAAUCAAAUCCUUUUUCCUAUCUCUAAGUCAAACACAUUUGUUUGGGCAAAUCAAGAGAUAUUCCAAUGGAAAAAUUGAUCAAGUACCAAAAACUCCCCUUUUCUCAUAAUAAAAAAUUCUCCCCCACAAGAGACCAAAUUUUGCAAUAAGAGUAUUUUGGACAAAUCAAAAGUUCUAACUCUAUUGUUUUCAAAAUUCACAAGUGGUUUUCAAAAUUCACAAGUGGUAGCUGAUCCAUUUGCUUUGGCCUUAAUUUCUCCCCCUUUGGCAUUAAGCACCAAAACGGGAUCAUUCUUGGCCCUUUAACCCCAUUGCCUCACCAAAAAUGUUAAUUCAGAGCGAAAAGGCAAUUAGAGCAUAAGAAUGAACUUGGAAGUAAUUACACUAAUACCAGAGUGCAGUGGAAGUCUUUGCAUUGUCCAAGUCCACAUUUCUCUUUCAAUGCACCUUUUCGACUACAUCAAGUAUACUCAAACAACUAGGUUAGUCUCAAAAGGUCAAGUUGUAUCACAUCUCCCCCUUAAUAUGUGCCUCACUUGCAUAUGGACUUGUGAGGUCCGGGGAUCACGUGUACAACUUGAACACCACAAAUAAACAAUAAUGGAUUUAAAUGCAUAAAGUAACAUGAUCAAAGGCAUAGAACACAUGUAUGCUAUAGAUCAAUCCAAGUUACGCGAAUCUAAGACAUUUAGCUCACUAUGCAACCUGCAAAAAGUUUUCUCAUCCAACGACUUGGUAAAGAUAUCGGCUAGCUGGUUCUCGGUGCUAAUAUGGUACACCUCGAUAUCUCCCUUUUGCUGGUGGUCUCUCAAAAAGUGAUGCCGGAUGUCUAUGUGCUUAGUGCGGCUAUGUUCAAUAGGAUUAUCCGCAAUGCAGAUUGCACUCUCAUUGUCACAUAGGAGUGGGACUUUGCUCAUAUUGUAGCCAAAGUCUCGGAGGGUUUGCCUCAUCCAAAGUAGUUGCGCGCAACACUAUCCUGCGGCAACAUACUCAGCCUCAGCGGUGGAUAGGGAAAUAGAUGUUUGUUUCUUAGAACUCUAGGACACUAGGGACCUUCCUAGAAAUUGGCACGUCCCCGAUGUGCUCUUCCUAUCAACCUUGCACCCGACAUAGUCGGAGUCUGAGUAUCCAAUCAAGUCAAAGUUAGACCCCUUUGGAUACCAGAUCCCGAAACAAGGCGUAGAAACUAAAUAUCUAAUAAUUCGCUUAACGGUCACAAGGUGACAUUCCCUGGGGUCGGAUUGAUAUUUAGCACACAUGCAUACGCUUAGCAUAAUGUUCGAUCUACUAGCACAUAAAUAAAGUAACGACCCUAUCACAGACCGGUAUACCUUUUGAUCAACGGACUUACCUCCUUUGUUGAGGUCGACAUGCCCGUCGGUUCCCAUCGGUGUCUUCGCGGGCUUGGCGUCCUUCAUCCCAAACCUCUUGAGAAGAUCUUGAGUGUACUUUGUUUGGGACAGGAAGGUGUCGUCCUUGAGUUGCUUCACUUGGAACCCAAGGAAGUAGGUCAACUCGCCCAUCAUCGACAUCUCGAACUUUUGUGUCAUCACCCUGCUAAACUCCUCACAAGACUUUUGAUUAGUAGAACCAAAUAUUAUGUCAUCGACAUAAAUUUGGCACACAAAAAGAUCACCAUCACAAGUCUUAGUAAAAAGAGUGGGAUCGGCUUUCCCAACCUUGAAAGCAUUAGCAAUUAAGAAAUCUCUAAGGCAUUUAUACCAUGCUCUUGGGGCCUGCUUAAGUCCAUAGAGCGCCUUAGAGAGCUUGAACACAUGGUCGGGGUACUUGUCAUCCUCAAAGCCAGGGGGUUGUUCCACAUAUACCUCCUCCUUGAUUGGCCCAUUGAGAAAAGCGCUCUUUACGUCCAUUUGAAACAACCUGAAAGAGUGGUGAGCAGCAUAGGCUAAUAAAAUUCGAAUAGACUCUAGCCUAGCCACAGAAGCAAAAGUCUCCUCAAAAUCCAAACCUGCGACUUGGGCAUAACCUUUUGCCACAAGUCGAGCCUUGUUUCUUGUCACCACCCCGUGCUCGUCUUGCUUGUUGCGAAACACCCACUUGGUUCCCACAACAUUUUGCUUUGGAUGUGGCACCAGGCUCCAAACUUCAUUCCUCUUGACGUUGUUGAGCUCUUCCUGCAUGGCCAACACCCAGUCCGGAUCCUGCAAGGCCUCUUCUACCCUGAAAGGCUCAAUAGAAGAGACAAACGAGUAAUGCUCACAAAAGUUAGCUAAUCUUGAGCGAGUAGUUACUCCCUUGCUUAUGUCACCCAGAAUCUGGUCAAUGGGGUGAUGUCGUUGGAUCGUCGCUCGGACUUGAGUUGGAGGGACCCGUGGUGCUUCUUCCUCUAUCAUUUGUUCUUCCUGUGCUCCCCCUUGAUCUUGUCCCUCUUCUUGAGGUACCUGUUCAUCGUCUUGAGUUGGAGGAUGCACCAUUGUGGAGGAAGAUGGCUGAUCUUGCUCUUGUUGUUCCUAUGGUCGCACAUCACAUAUCGCCAUCGUGCGCAUUGUGGCCGUCGGAACAUCAUCUUCAUCUAUGUCAUCAAGAUCAACUUGCUCUGUUGGAGAGCCAUUAGUCUCAUCAAAUACAACGUCGCUAGAGACUUCAACCAAACCCAAUGAUUUGUUGAAGACUCUAUACACCUUUGUAUUUGAGUCAUACCCUACUAAAAACCCUUCUACUGCCUUGGGAGCAAAUUUAAAAUGUCUACCUUUCAUCGCCAGAAUGUAACAUUUGCUCCCAAAUACACGAAAGUAAGAAACAUUGGGUUUGUUACCGAUAAGGAGUUCAUACGAGGUCUUCUUGAGAAGGCGAUGUAGGUAGAGCCGGUUUAUGGCGUGGCAAGCUGUGUUCACAGCUUCCGACCAAAACCGCUCGGGCGUCUUGAAUUCUCCAAGCAUCGUUCUUGCCAUGUCGAUAAGCAUCAUGUUCUUCCUCUCUACCACACCGUUUUGCUGUGGUGUGUAGGGACCGGAGAACUCGUGCUUGACGCCUUCUUCCUCAAGAUACUCCUCCACUUGCAGAUUCUUGAACUCGGACCCAUUAUCGCUUCUUAUCUUUUUCACCUUGAGCUCAAAUUCGUUUUGAGUCCUCCUUAGAAAGCGCUUUAGGGUUCUUUAGGUUUCUGAUUUAUCCUGCAAAAAGAACACCCAAGUGAAGCAGGAAAAAUCAUCAACAAUUACAAGACCAUACUUACUUCCCUCGAUGCUAAGGUAGGCAACGGGUUCGAAGAGGUCCAUGUGAAGAAGCUCCAGUGGUCUUGAUGUUGUCAUCAAAUUCUUGCUGUGAUGAGUGCUUCCCACCUGUUUCCCUGCCUGACAAGCUGCACAAGGUCUAUCUUUCUCGAAACAAACAUUGGUUAGUCUUAACCCAUGUUCUCCCUUUAGAAGUUUAUGACGGUUCUUCAUCCCAACAUGAGCUAGACGGUGAUGCCAUAGUCAGCCCAUACUAGUCUUAGCUAUUAAGCAUGCAUCUAGAUCAGCCUCCUCUUUCGAAAAAUCAACUAAGUAGAGUUUGUCGUCUAGUACACCCUUAAAAGCUAAUGAACCAUCACUCCUUCUAAAGACAGAUACAUCAACAUUUGUAAAAAGACAAUUGUAACCCAUGUGACACAAUUGACUUACAAACAGAAGGUUGUAACCAAGCGAUUCUACUAGAAAUAUAUUUGAUAUGGAGUGCUCGUUGGUGAUGGAUAUCUUUCCCAAACCAUUGACCUUGCCUUGAUUCCCAUCUCCAAAGAUAAUCGUAUCCUAGGAAUCCUUGUUCUUGACGUAGGAGGUGAACAUCUUCUUCUCCCCCGUCAUGUGGUUUGUGCAUCCGCUAUCGGUAAUCCAGCUUGAGCCCCUGGAUGCAUAAACCUGCAAGGAAUUUAAGCUUGGGUUUUAGGUACCCAACUCUUGUUGGGUCCUACAAGGUUAGUGUCGGUGUUUUGGGUCCGACCGCACACCCGGGGGUUGCCCCACAAGGUGUUUUUAGGAGUAGGACGGUGUCGCCGACUGUAGCUAAAUGGUUCGUGCUGGAUGCACGAGGAACAAUGGACAGUGUUUACAGGUUCGGGCCGCUUGGAGAUGCGUAACACCCUACGUCCUGGUGAGAGUGCUUUAUGUGGUAGAUUACAAGAGAGCUUUCUAACACUAGAGGGUAGAGAAUUGGGAUGCAUGGCUGAGUAGUGAGAUCGAUCGAUCUGAAGGGGUGCCCCCUAGGCCUUAUAUAUUCGACCGUGGGACAAUACAUGCGGACAUGAUAACAAUGCACACCUAAGAGAUAGUGAACUGAUUGAGUCUAUCUUCCUAUAGUUCUGCCGACUUAUCCUCGCCUGGUUUCGUUGUAUGGGGCUCCAGCGCGGGAAAGUCGGGUCUCUGUUGUGGUUGCUUGCCCAACGUUGUUGGCCCAUCCGGGCUCGCACCGAUCCGGCCUUAUGUCGAUCUGCUUCGCUGGUCGUUCUUCCCUAGGCCCAUGAAGGAAUGACCUUACGAUUUAUUGGGCCCUUGGGCCUUUCGUGAGGUCUUUUAUCCUUCCAGUGGACCCGGGGGAUAUCUGUCCCCCACAAGCCCCCGAUCUUUGGGUUGAUUUUGAGAUAAUCAGCCCAAAGAUCCUAGGUCCAGCUUGCGGUCUUCGUUUAUGACAAGAAAAUGCUUUCCGGGCAGUUUGGUAAAAACGAUUUCUUACUGUCUCCUUCUGCUUUGAUCACUUGAAAACUAGUGCUUUGUCUCACACUCGUGCCUUGGAGAUCAGCAUUUCGUAUUGUAGGAUCCUGAACUUCAUUGGGUGCACCGGAGGUGCACCCAAUGGUUGUAGCCCCCAAGCUUCGAGUGGAUUUUUGAAAAUAAUCCACUCGAAGGUCUUCAUCAGAAAUCAUUUUUAUUUUCCGCUUGCACUUUGUCGGAGGUCAGCCUUGCCUUUGAUCUUGCAAUAUGCUUUAGAAGUUAGCAUUAUCUUGACUUGAAAUGGCGAUUCAUGGGGUGCACCGGAGGUGCACCCAAUGGGUGUAGCCCCCGAGCUUCGAGUGGAUUUUUGAAAAUAAUCCACUCGAAGGUCUUCAUUUCGUGUCCUUUUGCUUAGAGUCAUCCUUUUUUUAAACGCCUUAGAUGUCAGCAUUAUGUCAUCGAUAUUAUGCUUUAGAGGUCAGCAUGUAUUUUGUCUUUGAGGCCGAGUUCAAGAUCUGCCCAUAUCUUGCUAGGUGGUGCAAUUUAUUUGAUCUGCGACUGAUUGGACGUUCGAUGGACGUCCCUUGGCUAGUCUUCAUGUCGCUUCUGUCGGUCAGACUUUGUACUUCACCGGCUAUAUUUGGCUUUCCUUUGAUCCUUUCUGAUAUCUCAUUUUUGUCUUGAGGUAUUCAUUGCAUGCCCUGCACGGAUAUGACAGUUUUGAAAAAUAUACUGAUAAUUCCUGGGCGUCCCCCCUAAUGGGUGUGGGCAAGGGACGGCUUGGUACGCUGAGUGUUUUAGCCGGCUGCUUCUGAGUAGUAAUGUGAUGUGACGACGGGUGUAAUCAUAUCGCCCGCGUAGUUGACCGGAGUCCCAAUGGGUGUUGCGUUGCGUGAAACGGCGUCUGCCGCCUGACGUAUCUUCAGACGGGUUGAAGUGUAUAUUGAAUUUUUUGCGACUGUUCAGUGACUAUGGUAGGAGGUGAGCGGUUGCCUUCUUCUUCUAUAACUAGAUAUGUGCCCGUGCGUUGCCACGAGAGUUAAAAAUCCGUAUAAAACAUAGAUAUAGAACGACAACCGUCACUAUGAUAUGCAAAAUCCAUGUAGCAAAAUAUCACCUUAACACUAAUAUUAUACUCUAAGUAUAGACUGAAUGCUCUGGUAUCUAUUCAGAGUCAGAGAUUUAACUGGGAAAACUUGAUUAAUCAUUCACUGAACACAACAAGAACCCAAUUUGGAAGGACGAGAAAGAACUAAAUGCACACGGUUCAACUCAUCCUUCCGGAUUGAACAUUCAUCAAAGCUAGCAUAACAUAGCUACAUGUAUUGAUAAGUAGGUUAAAAUAGCUCAAGCAACUUGGGAGAUAAAUAAUGUACUCCUGUGAGUAGCUAACACGACAUUUGGUAUAAGUUUCAUAUCCUUAUUUUCACAUUUGAGCAUUCAUAUCUGCUAGUUAUAAGCAGCAUGUUGUAAAAGUGUUGUGGAAAUGAUUGAGUAAAUUUGACGGUAAUUGAUAGUUAGUCAUCAUUUUCUAUAUAUUAUGCACAAAGAGAAGUAUGCCUAAGAAACUGGGUAUAUCUAUUAAAAAAACGUGACCAAGGUUUUUAAUUAAGAACACAUGCAAAAAUUUGCCUCGAUAAGGACUUGGGCUUGAGGGGUCUCCAAAUUUCCAUUUUCUAGGAGUAUAUAUGCAAAAAUGUGUGCGUUAAUGUUUGAAGGAAGGGAUUCCUAGAAUCGCAUCAUUAAAUCAAAUGAGCUCCACACAAUCCCUGUUUCAUAAAUAUUAAUGUCAGCAAUAAAUAGUUAAAUUUCUAGCAUGUCUUGUGUUGCACAAGCCGAAGCACGUAUUCAAGCCGAACAAGCAAAUAGACGCAAAAGUGUGAAGAUCGCAAGACGAGAGUCGACGGUGGGUGGUCAGAAUUUGUCGAAAGGAGUCGGUAGAUCAGAUGUGACGGUAGAAUAUUUACGCCACUUGAUUAGGGAUCGGUGGCACUGACUGAUCCGAUCAGGUCCAGAUCUCUCCCAAACCGAACAGCGGAGCGAGUUGCCUCACCGGCCCUCUCGCCAACCAACGUCUCGAGGGGAUGGGGGCGUCAGGCGGGGACAACGGGGUGGGGUACGGGGGCGAGCGUUAUGCGAGGGCACGGUAUCACGGUGUCCAUUUGUGAGUGAAGCGCUUGGCGCGUUGCAGGUCCUUCUAGAACGCGCGCGUGAUGCGGGCCAGUUUGCUCACACGCCAUGGAGAAGAGACGAGUCGUAUGGCCUUAUGACGCGUGGUCCUAGGAUGUGGCUGGGUUCACACGUCAUUAGGCAUAACGUUCCUUAGUGCAUAGUGGCCGAUAGCAGUUGUUGGGUAAGUCGACUUCGAUGCUUGCAUGCAGCGUGAGUGGAGGGAGCCACGAGGAUCGGCUUCGGCGGCUUGCAUGUAGCAUGAGUGGAUGAGGGGGCACAUCGUUAGUUGGCUAAGAUAAGCAUUACUAUCUUGCACUGCAGCCAGUGAUGUGUGGCUAACAACCGAGAGAGAGAGAGAGAGGAGGAGAUGCUCUAGUCGAGUUUAGUUUGUAUUGCUUGUUUGGUACUCUAAUGCCAGAACAUUAGUGUCGUUUCAUCUCGACAUCAUCUGACUUUGUCGAGUGUGAACAAAUCACUUGAAAACAACGUAUACGUGGUAUGGUUUAAUAUAUAAGAGUUGUGGGCUGAGGUUGCUUGCUCUGCAUGCGGAUUACGAUGUCUAAUUAUAUAUACCCGCCUUCAUCUCCUACUGAUGUGUCGUCGAAGAGAGGAUGACGUGUAUUGGUGUAGCACACUCCCUUAGCUAGUCAGACCAAGACUAAUCAAAGCUCCAGCUAGCUAUGGACAAAUGGACAAAUAAAUUUCUCGCCCGGGAAGCCGGGAGUAGGAAGACCAAGGGGCUGGGGCUGGCUGGUGCCGAUGCUCCCGUAUCAGACAAGUUGACGUCGUGCGCAUUCUCACAGCCGUCGGCUACGCCAAUACCAACAUCCGUGCGUUAUGGCGGAUGACAGUACGGCUUGCAUGUAGCGUGAGUGGGAGGGCAGCUGCAUGCCUGCAUGCAGGGCACCAUAUGGGAGGCGGGGGCACUUUAUGGUCUACAUUAGCUUCUUAAUAGUUAGUAGAGAAUAGUGCCUUUGCCUCUCCGGUUUUUUCACAUCUCUUGAUGUUCUCUGCUGCUUGCUUUCUUCUUCUCCCUUCAUUUCCACCAUGGGCAAGAGUAACAAACGCAAGCACGAGCUGACUCCUCCAUCGGAGGACUUCGGCGACUCGGAAUACUCGGAGGAGGAGUUCUCCUCCGAGUCCGAGGGGUCUCCGGCUCCCUUCUCUCCCCCGGCGUCGUCUGACGAUUCAGACGACUCCCAGGGGAUUGUCGCGGAGGUCUGGACUUAUAUCCAGACCGUCGAGCGCUCCGGGCUCGAGGGCUCGGAUGAGUCGGAGUACUCCUCGAACGAGGAGGACUCUUCGAACUCGUCCGAGGAGGGCGGCGGCGGCGAUGGCGGAGACGAAGACGACGACAGAGGCGACGAUGACGAUGGCGGUGACGACGGCAGCAGGGGCAGCAAGGGCGGCGACGGCGGCAGCAGCAGGGGCAGCAACGGCGGCGACAGCAAGGGCAGCAACAAGGCCAGUGGCUAGAUGCCACUGGUCUUUUAGAUGUUAGUAUAUAUUAGAAGUAGUAUAAUGAAAUAAUGUAGUAGUAGUUAGUAGUGUAGAGUAGUAGAAUGUAGUGUAGUAGUAGUAGUAGUAGUAGUAGUAGUAGUAGUAGUAGUAGGGGAGUAUCAACUCAUAACGAGUUGAUUUGUAAGUUCUGUAACUUCCCUUAAUGAAGAAUGAUUUCGUCUCCUCCUGUGUUGAUUAUUUUGCUUCAUAGUCAGUUGAUGGUUGUCGCGAUAUUUAUUGUCCGUGAUGUUCUCUAUCUGUUAUGCUUGUGUCGUAACUUGGAGUUCUCGAAUCAUUCCUCUGUUUUCCUUAUUUGUGAAGUCGAUUCCUCUGGAAUAGUAGCUGAGUAACUCGGGCAUCAUAUCAUCGCUUUUAGGGGUGAUGGCCGAGUUAUUGUUGUCAACAUUUACGCUUCUGAAGUAGCGUCCAAAUGAUGACGAAGCCACAUCAGCGUUGGAAUGACUGAUGAUCACGUCGGCGCUUUUUUAGAGAUAAUAGCCGAGCGACUUAUGACGACGUCGGCAUUUUAGAGAUAACUGUCGAGUGACUGAAGAUCACGUCGACGCUUUUUUAGAGGUAACAGCCGAGCGACUUAUGACGACGUCGGCAUUUUAGAGAUAACUGCCGAGUGACUGAAGACAACGUCGGCGUUUUAGAGAUAAUAGCCGAGUUAGAACGGGCUGCGUCGGCCACAUUGAAGGUAAUAGCCGAGUAAUGAUGUGGCACACCGGUGCUUUAGAAGUAACUGUCGGGUGAUGACUGGGCGCUUUUUGGAAACGAUAUCCGACCCGGGAAGAUCCCAUAUGUGCUGCGCUUUCAGCCGCCUCUGCUUUCCGUGCCCUAGUUCUUGCUUUCCUGCCUCCAGAUCUUCCCUGUCCUUUUGCAAUUCGGCUCCCGCUCUGUUCACCGGUGGAGUUGAGAUGGCGCCCAAGCGAAAGGCCUCGAGUUCAUCCGCUGCGGUGAUUCCCCCUAUCGACCCCAACAGCCAGUUGCCUUUCGCAGGUAACCACAUGUCUGUUGUUUCUGAGCCUGACCUUCUCCAUCUCGUGUCCAUCGGGGUCCUUCCUCCGAAGGAGCUCUGUUCUUGGCAGAUUUGCCACGGGGUCACUGUUCCAACAGAGGAUACCCAUGAAUCCGUGAUUUAUGUUCCUUUUCUUCUCCGCGGUCUCGCUCUUCCUAUUUCUCCCUUUUUCCGCGGUCUCCUUGAUUUCUAUCGCCUUAACUUGACCCAUCUGAAUCCCAAUUCCAUUCUGCAAAUUUCCAUUUACGUUCAUUUAUGCGAAGCUUUUCUUGGCGUCCUGCCACAUUUUGGAUUGUGGAAGUACUUGUAUCACUGUCGCCCUGGGAUGGCUGGGGGGCAGCAUCAGCUGGUGGGGGUGCGAGUUUGGAGAUGCGCCGUGGGAGGAAGAUUGACUACCUUGAAAUCCCACUCAAGGAUAGUAUCAAAGGAUGUCGCUUGGAGUGGUUUAUUGUUGAGAACCAUGGAAAAUCUCUCCCUCCACGGUCAGGGAGACAGCCGGAUGUUCGUACUCCAAGUUGGACCGAGUCCCCCACGGACCAGGAGGUGGCUGAGGCAGGGGCUUUGUUGGCUGAAGUUGGACUGCUGAAGGAGAGGGGUCUGACUGCAGAGGCUGUGGUUGCUGAUUUUGUCUUUAAGAACAUUCAGCCUUUGAAGGACAGGGCAUACCCGGCUUAUCUGUACCGAGGUCUAGCUGAUUCAACCCGGGUCACCAACAGAAGAAUUCCCGCUGUAGACUUGGUGAACCGGCUUGAAAUGAUACUUAGAGGCAAGGUUUCAAACGUUGGCGCCCCUAUCGCAUACUCGGUCUGGAACCUGCCUCCUUCCAAGGCCUUUGCCCAUUUUGUGUCGAAUCCUCCUGCUGCUGAUGACGGUUUGGGCCUUAGAGUGCGACCCUCUACCGAAGAAGUUAGUGCUUUGGUUGCUUUGAUUGAAGAAAUUCCUGACGAUGAACGGCAGGUCCAUUUUGAGGUGCCUUUGGAUCCUAGUGACGCAGAGAUAAGUGCUAUGCUUGAUAUGCUGGUUGAGGACUCUUCUGAUGCUGCUCCUGCUGGGACAUUGGUGGUGGCGCCUCUCCCGGAAGCUGGUACAACCUUGGAUAUUCAGAGGCCUGUCAGUGUUUGCCCGAAACGCCCUUGCCGAGCCAAUCAACUUGAUUCUCCUGUUGAUGAGAAGAAAAAGAAAAAGAGACGUCUUCAGCGAGUAUCUAGCUUGGAUCGGGAUGUUGGUCCUUCGGUUCCUGCUGCUGAGGAAGUGCCUGUGCCUGAAUUUACCGACGCUGACCCCAAUGGGUGUGAUCCAUCUGUUGCUGACCCCAAUGGGGGUGCUCCAUCUGUCGCUGAACCCAAUGGGUGUGUUGUCUGUGUUGCUGAUGAAAACGAGGGGGAGGAAGAAGAUGAGGUCCCUUUGACUCGGAAGAACAGUCGGCAAUAUGUUGCCAGUGGGGAAAGUAGUGGAGUUCCUUCUCCUGCUCUGUCUGCCCUCAUUGGUCUACAAGAAUUGUCCCUGGCGAACUUUGAUCAGACUCUUGAAGAUAUGGUUCCAGAGGAUCUGUUAUCAGAGCUAGCGGAUGGUGAUGCGACAGAUGUUUGUGCUGAUGUGCUCGAUGCCAGGUUGGGGUCAUCCCGGGCAGCGUCCCGCGCCUCAUCGACCUUGGAGCGCGGUCUUGAGGGUCAGGAAACUGACUUGGAUCGUCUUGUUCCCAUGGAAGUAACUGAGGGACCUUUAGCCUUAGAGGCGGCUACUGCAGAGAACAUGGUCCUCAAGGAUGGUGUUGACACUUACCCAGCCCCCGAGGGUGUUACCGGGGAUGAUUCGGCUCGGGUGGGAAGCGCGAGCCGCGGCCCAGCCCCCGAGGGUAUUGCCGGAGAUGAUCCGGCUCAAGUGGGUAGCGCAAACUAUGACCCAGCCCCCGAGGGUGUCCGAGUGGGGUCUCCCUCUUGUACUUCCAUGGAUGUUCACGCAGGAUCUCCUCCACACUCUGGUUGCAUGGUGGUAGCCCAAGCUUUGGGUCAGGGAGUCGCUUUAGAGGCUAGCGUUCAUGCCGACCAAGUUUUGGGCUCUGCUGAUGACACUGGAUUGGUUCCUGCUGGUUCAUUGCGAGCUGCUUCGGGUGGUGACCCUAUGCCAAGCCAUCAAUUGAUCUCUCACGAUUUGGGAGUCCCUUCAUUCUUCUCCAACCUCCAGGUACUGUGAUAUAUUCUAGCCUGACUUUUACACCGUAUGAACUGUUGUCAUUACACUCAUCUGUUCUCAAUAUCAGGCAUUGGUGGACGGGAUGGCUAGUUAGUUGAGGUUGCAAGGUGCUUCUGUUCCAGAAGGAGCUUUGUCUCUGGCACGUUGGAAUCCGGUGUUGCUUCAACAGCGUGUCUCUGACUUAGAGGCGACGAAUGUUGGUUAGUGCUCUUUUGCUUCCCUUCGUCUACCUUAUUGAACUGCUUACACUUUGACCCUUUUCGCUUGAUUGUUUCUCGCUAGAUAUGGCUCGGCAGAUUUCUGUUCUUGAAGAAAAACAUUCUCAAGGUCAGGCUGAACUGGUCCGGCGGUGUUCUGAUUUUGAGGAAAAGUAUUCUCAAAGCCAGACUGAGCUGGCCCAGGUCUCUGCUGCUCUGAAUGACGCUAACACGCUGAACUCUACUCUUCGCGCUCAGCUUGAUUCUGAAAAGGUGACUUAUGAAACUGUGCCUUGUAUUGCCGUGUUCUUAUUGCUUGCUUGAUGUUUGAAGGAGCUGAUUCUUGUUUGCAGGAAGAAAAACGUGCCCUUGUUGCUUCUCGCGACAAUCUUGACAGACUAUAUCGUGAUUCUAGCAACUCGUUGACCAUCCUGGAGAGGAGUCAUCGCUUCACCAUGGAGGAAUUAGACAAUCAUUGCUGUAAGCUGCAGGAAUCCACGGAUGACGUGAUCCGUCUCAGGCAGUUGAUAUCGGCUAAGGAUGCUGCUAUCAAGGAGCUGCGUGCUUCCAAGAAGUCCAUCGCCCAGGACCUAGAGACCGCUCAGUUGGCUGUCAAAGUUGCUGAAGAAACUUCCAUUACUCUGAGGACCCAGCGCGACAGAGCCAUGGAUAAAGCCAUUCGCGCGGGGCGGAUCUUGAUGAGGAGACCCGGCGUGGUUGUUCCCGAUGAUAUAAGGGCUGAUGUGAACGCUGCUCCUGAUUCCUCAAGUCACCCUUCUUCGUCGGUUGCUCCUGAGAAAGAUGUUGCAAAAUAGAGAAAUAUUGCGUGCUUUGAGCGCGCGGUUAUCAGGAUCGGAUAUUUGUUAGAGGACACCAGUUCGGCAUUUGAAUACUACUAUUACUCUCCUAUUGUUUUAGAAUUCAGCGGUACGUAAAUUUGCAGGAGUAAAAUGCUGUGUGAUGAUUUUGAAACUUCUUCACGAGAUAUAGAGGUCACCCCUAUAUGAGUAAUCGUAAGCAUGUGAAAUCGCCUUAAUUCGUUGCUGACUUAAAUCGAUUGCUUUUGUUAGUAGGGCAUAGUAGUAGUCCCAAGUUAAGUAAGCGCGAACAUGUUGCAUCGUCUUAAGUCGUUGCCGACUUAAGCCGAUUGCUCCAUUAGCAGGGCAUAGUGGUCACCCCGAGUUAAGUAAGCACGAGCAUGUUGCACCGUCUUGAGUCGUUACCGACUUAAGCCGAUUGCUCCGUUAGCAGGGCAUAGUGGUCACCCCGAGUUAAGUAAGCGCGAGCAUGUUGCACCGUCUUAAGUUGUUGCCGACUUAAGCCGAUUGCUCCGUUAGCGGGGCAUAGUGGUCACCUCGAGUUAAGUAAGCGCGAUCAUGUUGCACCGUCUUAAGUCGUUGCUGACUUAAGCCGAUUGCUCCGUUAGCAGGGCAUAGUGGUCACCCCGAGUUAAAUAAGAAUGCAGGUCAAUCAUGAACAAACUGAGUAUUCUUGAAGCCUUUUUUAUUGAUGACAUAUCUCCCAUUUUACAGAGUACAUUGUUGUCCCAAUAGCUUUUGAAAUACAGCUAGGGAUAAAACUUCCUGAGGUGUUCUAUAUUCCAGGAGUUCCCAAUUUCUGUGCCGUCCAUUUGAGUGAGACGAUAUGAUCCCGGCCGAGUGACUUCUGCUACUAUGAAUGGUCCUUCCCAUAGGGGUGACAACUUGUGCCGUCCCUCCCCCGCUAGAAUUCGACGGAGGACAAGAUCUCCCACUGCAAAGGAUCGUCGUCGCACGGCCUUGUCGUGAUAGCGUCUCAGAGUUUGCUGGUAUCGCGCUGAUUGAAUUACUGCGUUCAGCCGUUCUUCUUCGAGUACAUCAAUAUCCUCCAGCCUAGUAGCUUCGGCUUCUGCUAUGCUUUCAAAAACCAACCUUGGCGCCCCAAACUUGAGAUCAGCGGGUAAUACUGCCUCUGACCCAUAGACCAUGAAGAAAGGAGUGUUUCCGUGCAGAGCUCGACUAGGUUGAGUUCUUAGGCUCCAAACGACGUAGGGCAACUCCUUUAUCCAUUUUCCUGUGAACUUUUCAUUUUUAUCGAAGACCUUUUUCCUGAGUGCCUCUAAUAUCAUCCCGUUAGCUCGUUCAACCUGCCCGUUGGCUCUUGGGUGUGCCACCGAAGCGUACUUGAUCUGAAUGUUCUUUUGCUCACAGAAAUCGAAGAACUCUGAACUUGUGAAGUUGGAUCCCAGGUCAGUUAUGAUACUGUUCGGUAUUCCGAAUCUGAAUAUUAUGUCUUGUAUGAAUUCCACGGCCUUAGGUGAGGUUAAAGAAGCAAUGGGUUUGAACUCUAUCCAUUUAGUGAAUUUGUCGAUUGCUACCAGUACAUGAGUGUAUCCUCCUUGAGCUUUCUUGAAAGGUCCAAUCAUAUCCAGUCCCCAGCAUGCGAAUGGCCAAGUCACUGGUAUGGUCUGUAGUUGCUGUGCUGGUAGAUGUUGUUGCUUUGACAAGUACUGGCAGGCUUCACACCUCUGAACUAACUCGGCCGCAUCACUUUUCGCCGUCGGCCAAUAGAAUCCCGACCUGAAGACCUUCCCGACUAGUGUCUUGGAUGCUGCGUGUAUUCCACAUUGCCCAGCAUGGACCUCAUCUAGAAGUUGCUUCCCAGUAGAUGAGAGAAUGCAUUUCAUGAGGACGCCUUAUGCACCCCUUCUGUAUAGUGUCUCCCCAAUGAGUGUGUAGUGAGUUGACUGUCUAGCGAUGCGCUCGGCUGCAUUUUUGUCAUCUGGUUCCUCUUCAUUCUUUAUAUAUCUGAUGAUCGACCUUCUCCAGUCAUCAGAAUCUGACUCUGGUUGGUUCACGAUAUUACAUUCUUUUGCCUGGUCUGUUGAGAUGCUUGGAUGCGGUAUUUCCUGUACGAAGAUUCCAGGUGGGACCUGAGUUCGACUGGAUCCUAGCUUGGACAAUACAUCAGCUGCCGUGUUUCGAUCUCUCUCUACAUGGUGAAAUUCCAGACCUUCAAAUUUAUCUUCUAGUUUCCGGACGGCGGCGCAGUACUUUCCCAUUGAAUCGCUCGAACAGUCCCAUUCUUUGUUUAUCUGGCUUAUGACUACCAAAGAAUCUCUGUAUACCAUCAGUCUCUUGAUGCCUAGUGAUAUAGCGAUGUUCCUCCAACAAACUCCGAGAAUAUCUACCGAACCAUUGAGCUACGGAUCUGCGAUGUGAUGUAGAGUUCCUUCUUCAUCUGCUACGGAUGAGAUAGUUCCAAAGCAGAACACAGAUCUGGGACGGGGGGUGAUCUUGCGGUGGAAGGUGACGGUCAUUGAGCUAGCUUAGAUCGGCGACACACCCCCUACCUGGCGCGCCAGCUGUCGGUGUUUUGGGUCCGACGCACACCCGGGGUUGCCCCGCAAGGUGUUUUUAGGAGUAGGACGGUGUCGCCGACUGUAGCUAAAUGGUUCGUGCCGGAUGCACGAGGAACAAUGGACAGUGUUUACAGGUUCGGGUCGCUUGGAGAUGCGUAACACCCUACGUCCUAGUGAGAGUGCUUUACGUGGUAGAUUACAAGAGAGCUUUCUAACACUAGAGGGUAGAGAAUUGGGAUGCAUGGCUGAGUAGUGAGAUCGAUCGAUCUGAAGGGGUGCCCCCUAGGCCUUAUAUAUUCGACCGUGGGACAAUACAUGCGGAUAUGAUAACAAUGCGCACCUAAGAGAUAGUGAACUGAUUGAGUCUAUCUUCCUAUAGUUCUGCCGACUUAUCCUCGCCUGGUUCCGUUGUACGGGGCUCCAGCACGGGAAAGUCGGGUCUCUGUUGUGGUUGCUUGCCCAACGUUGUUGGGCCAUCCGGGCUCGCACCGAUCCGGCCUUAUGUCGAUCUGCUUCGCUGGUCGUUCUUCCCUAGGCCCAUGAAGGAAUGACCUUACGAUUUAUUGGGCCCUUGGGCCUUUCGUGAGGUCUUUUAUCCUUCCAGUGGACCCGGGGGAUAUCUGUCCCCCACAGUUAGUCACAAUAGUUUUUGGAACCCAUAUGCAGGUUUUAUCUCCCUUGCAUUUGGAUCCCAAUUUUCUAGCCACUACUUUUGCAUUCUUACAUGAAAGAACAAAAGAAGUGUUGCAAGCAUGGAAAACAGUAGUAGAUUCAUUGCACAUUUUCCUAGGCACAUGAUGCACAACAUGAUUUCUCCUAGGCCUACCUCUACUAUGAACAAAAGUAGAACUAGAGGCAAACAUAGCAUGUGAAUUAAAAGCAUCAUGAUCAUAACUCCUAUUAUAAUGAGCACGAUUAGCAAUUUUCCUAUCAUAAAUAAAAGCAUGGUUCCUUUGAGGAUUACUAACCAUAGGAGCCUUCCCUUUCUCCUUGUUGGGAAUGGGAGCCCUUUUGCUUGUUAAGUUCUUGGCUUCCUUUCGAAAACCAAGCCCAUCCUUAAUUGAGAGGAGUCUACCAACGGUGUAGGUAUCCCUAGCAAAUUUUAAUUUAUCAAAAUUAAUUUUGCAAGUCUUAAGUUGAGCAUUGAGACUUGCCACCUCAUCAUUUAAUUUGGUAAUAGAAAUAAGGUGAUCAUCACAAGCAUCAAAAUCAAAAUCCUUACAUCUAUUACAAAUAACAACAUGCUCUACACACGAACUAGUUUUGUUGACUUCCUCUAGCUUAGCAUUUAGUUCAUCAUUUAAACUCUUUAAACUAGAGACCGAUUCAUGACAAACAGACAAUUCAGAGGAUAACAUUUCAUUUCUGUUAAUUUCUAAGGCAAGGGCAAAUUUGUCAUGUUCCUCAUAUAAAAUAUCCUCUUGUUUUUCUAACAAUCUAUCUUUUUCAUUUAGAGCAUCAAUUAUAUCAUUAAUUUUUUCUACUUUAGCUCUAUCUAAACCUUUAAAUAAACUAGAGUAAUCUACUUCAUCAUCGGAGGAUUCUUCGUCACUAGAUGAAGUGUACUUGGGUGUGUCCCGAACACAUACCUUUUUCUCCUUGUCCAUAAGACAUGUAUGGUGUUCGUUGGGGAAGAGUGAGGAUUUGUUGAAGGCCGAAGCAGCGAGUCCUUCAUCAUCGGAGUCGGAAGAGGAGCAGUCCGAGUCCCAUUCCUUUCCAAGGUGCGCCUCGCCCUUUGCCUUCCUGUAGUUCUUCUUUUUCUCCUUCUUCCCGCUCUUUUCUUGUCCCUGGUCACUAUCAUUAUCGGGACAGUUUGCAAUAAAGUGACCAGUCUUACCGCAUUUGAAGCAGGAGCGUUUUCCCCUUGUUUUAUUCUUGUUGGGGGUACUCCUUGCGUCCUUUGAGUGCGGUCUUGAAGCGCUUGAUGAUAAGCGCCAUCUCAUCUUCAUUAAGUCCGGCAACCUCCACUUGAGCUACCCUGCUUGGUAGUGCCUCCUUGCUGCUCGUUGCUUUGAGAGCAACGGGUUGCGGCUCGUAGAUAGGUAGUGGACCGUUCAAGGCGUCAUCCACAUAUCGUGCCUCCUUUACCAUCAUGCGCCCGCUCACGAAUUUUCCGAGUAUCUCCUCGGGUGUCAUCUUUGUGUACCUAGGGUUUUCACGAAUAAGAUUCACAAGAUGGGGGUCAAUAACUGUAAAUGACCUGAGCAUGAGUCGGACAACGUCAUGAUCCGUCCAUCUUGUGCUUCCAUAGCUUCUAAUCUUGUUGACCAGGGUCUUGAGCCUAUUGUAGGUUUGUGUUGGCUCUUCUCCCCUGAUCAUGGUGAAUCUCCCUAGCUCGCCUUGCACCAGUUCCAUUUUGGUGAUCAUUGUAGCAUCAUUUCCCUCAUGUGAGAUCUUGAGGGUGUCCCAGAUUUGCUUGGCGUUGUCCAAGCCACUUACUUUAUUAUACUCAUUCCUGCAAAGAGAUGCUAACAACACAGUAGUAGCUUGGGCAUUCUUAUGGAUUUUCUCAUUAAUAAUCAUAGGGUUAUCCGUACUAUCGAAAUGCAUUUCAUUUUCCACUAUUUCCCAAAUGCUAGGAUGGACUACGCAAUUUAUGACUCCAAAAUGAGUAGUCCUCUCCAUCAAAGUGUGGCGGUUUUCCUAGAGGAAUAGAAAGUAAAUGCGCAUUCGAAUUGUAUGGCAUGCGAGAAUAGUCAAAAGAGUAGUUUUGAUUAAUCGUUCUCUUUUUCGACGAAGAGUCGUCGUCGUCUCUUGGUGAAGAAGAAGAUGCAUCACUAUCAUAGUAGAUGAUCUUCUUGAUGCGCCUCUUAUUCUUCCCGUUCUUCUUCUUGUGACUCGAGCCUGAGUUAGUGGGCUUGUCAUUUCUUGGCUCAUUGAAGAUGGACUCCUUCUCCUUGUCGUUGACCACCAUCCCCUUUCCCUUAGGAUUCAUCUCUUCAGGCGGUUAAUCCCUUAGAUGAAGAGUACGGCUCUGAUACCAAUUGAGAGCACCUAGAGGGGGGUGAAUAGGUGAUCCUGUAAAAUUCAACACUAAAUAGCCACAAAACUUAGUUAUAGAAGUGUUAGUGCGACUAAGUAGUUGAGAAGCGAGUUCUUGUGGACAAAACAAUCACAGAGAAAGCAAUCACAAGAGACACGUGAUUUUAUCCCGUGGUUCAGCCAAGUAACACUUGCCUACUUCCACAUUGUGGCGUCCCAAUGGAUGAGGGUUGCACUCAACCCCUUUUAAGUGAUCCAAUGAUCACUUGAAUACCACGGCUUUCUUCCUUAUAGUUUUCUUCCCGUAUGCGAGGAAUCUCCACAAGUUGGAGCCUCUCGCCCUUACAAUAUUGAUCACAAAGAAUGCACAAGAGUAAGGUUGGAGAGCAACACACACAAAUCCGCAGCACACACACGCACACAAGCCAAGACUUGAGCUCGAAACGAAGCACAAAGAGUUCACAACUAGAACGGAGCUCGAAUCACAAACACAAUCGAUCAAAUGUGCGGAGAUGGAGUGUGGGAGUCUUAGAAUGCUUAGUGAAUGCUUGGAUGACUCCUCCAUGCGCCUAGGGGUCCCUUUUAUAGCCCCAAGGCAGCUAGGAGCCGUUGGAGGCCAACUUGGAAGGCCAAACUUGCCUUCUGUCGGGUGGUGCACCGGACAGUCACUAUAGCUGUCCGGUGCGUGAUUGCCUUCCAAAUCAGGCGCAUCCGACCGUUGGUCCUCGGGGUCGAUUGGCACAUCGGACACUGUUUGGUGCACACUGGACAGUCCAGUGUGCCCAACCGACCGUUGUUGCGGGCCACGCAUCGCCCGCGGAUUGCGCGGUCGACCAUUGCGCUGGCGACCGUUGGCUCACCGGACAGUCCGGUGAAUUAUAGCCGUACGCCGCCGUCGAAUCCCGAGAGCGGCGAAUUCACCACGGACCAGCUUGGCACACUAGACACUGUCUGGUGCACCACCGGACAGUCCGGUGUGCCAAGCCGAGCUGGAGUUUGCUGCACAUAGCCAACUCUUUUUCCCAUUCUUUUCUCACUGUUUCUAGCACUUAGACGAAACACAUUAGUACUCAAAACAAUGUACUAAGUCUAGAAACGUACCUUUUUCUUUGAUUUGCACUUCUCACUUUACUUGGCACAUAAGAACUUAAUUAACUGUGUUGGGCACUUAAUCACCAAAACAUUAUUGAAAUUGCCCAAGGGCACAUUUCCCUUUCAGUAAGGUGAAGGCAUUUUGAUCUUUUAGUGCGGGUAUUUUUUGUUUUCAUUUUCCUUUCAACUAUUUACUUAGUGUCGGGGGGAAAGAUCCCCAGGCCCCUAGGUCCUACGAAUUAGCAGGAGAACGAGAGAAAGGUCCGCUCCGGAAGGGCCCGCCCUUGGAUAGUCUCGAGCUACCGAGCCUAGAUAGGGCAAGCUAGAGCCAGAGGGGGUCGGGUGAAUCGAGAGGAAGCCACUCGAUUAUGUUCCUGACCUAAGACUGACCCACCAUAAGAGACCAACUGCAUUAGUUGCUCCUGGCAUAGAGCCACAUCAGGAGAGUCGGUCCUCCUUCCACUCAUGACCUAGCAGCCCCUAGGCCCACGGGCGGAGCUAGGUGUAGACCAACCUGGGCUCUGGCCCCCUCGCCGCAUAAAAAACUUAGGUACGUAUUAAAAAUCAAAAUAUACACUACAUGGCUCACAAUACCAAUAUUUCCAAUGCCAAGCCGCUAGCCUUUGCGUUUACAGGCCUUAUGACCAAGCCGCUGGCGGCUAUCACUUAGUUCCAUGCAACAGUGUCGCACACUCUCUCUUCUCUGCCAAACUCCAAGGCUCCAAGACAUUUUUCUUCUGUGCGAGUGUGUGACCGUGCCGCUGUCGAAUCGCCUCUCUGAGACUCAAUCUCAUCAGUCACCUCCUCGUGCAUGCUAUCAAACACCCUAGAGCUAUUUAGGUUAGGCAUGCUCUAAUUUCUCUUCUCCUUAUUUUGAUUCGAUUUUUCUCAGUACAUAGUCUCUAUCCUUAACCUAAACCCUAGUUACCAGUUUAGAAGUCGAUUAAUUUUUUACUUAUACCAAUGGUUCAAAAAUCCAUCCAAAUAUUUUGCAAAAGAAGGGAUGAACCAGAACCAUUUGUUGAGCAACCUAUCGUUGUUGCUGCGGGUACCAAAUUUGAGGGGCAAGAUGAAGCUGAUGUUUUUUGGGACAUUGAAUUUUUAGAGCGAUAUGCAACAAAACACACACAAAUUUGGGAGUAUCCAAGCAACCAACAAGAUUAAGUAUGAUGAGCAUACUUGAUUUUAGGUCCCAUGCAACCAAAACAUCAAAGUUAUAAGCCAUUAGGGCCAACAGGUCAUCAGCGGCAUUUUUUGUACCAUUGGUUUAGUCAAUUUCCCUCUUGGUUGGAAUAUUCAGUGAACAUUGGACAUACUUAUUAUCUUUAUUGCUUUGUUUGUAGCAAAAACAUAAAUAAAAGGAGUGUAUUGAUGUCUUCAUAGCACAAGGUUUUGACAGUUGGAAAAGGUUCAUGAUGGGAAAAAGUGCAUUCCUAGCUCUAUAUAGGAUUUGAUCCUUGCUCAGUUCAUAAUAAUGUAGUGAAAGAAUGUCAAACCUUGUGGAAUCAACCAAAUCACAUAACAAAUAUGUUUGUGGUGACAAGUGAUCGGGAGAAGGAAAGAAAUCAUAUAAAGCUUGAGACAUCAAUUGCAGCUAUUAAAUGGUUGACAUUUUAGUCUUGUGCUUUGAGAGGUCAUGAUGAGACAAUAGGAUCAAAAAACAGAGGCAAUUUCAUUGAAAUGGUAAAACUUCUUGCAGAAUUUAAUCCUAAGAUUGCAUGUGUCAUUUUAGAGAAUGCUCCACUCAAUGCCAAAUAUAUAUCACCUGAUAUUCAAAAGGAGAUAUUGAGUGUUAUUGCAAUGAAAAUUAGAAAGCAUAUUUGUGAUGAAGUUGGGGAUGUGAAGUUCUCAAUUCUUGUAGAUGAAACAUGUCAUGUAUCCAAAAGAGUGCAAAUGUCUCUUGUUCUCAUAUUUGUUGAUAAAGAUGAUGUUUUACAAGAAAGGUUCUUUGAUUGUGUUCAUGUAACAAACACUAGAGCACUUACAAUGAAACAAGAAUUGUAUCAUGUAUGACACUCCAUUCCUUUGAUAUACAAAACCUUCGAGGCCAAGGAUAUGAUGGUGCUAGCAACACGAAGGCAGAAUUGAAAGGUUUGCAUGCACUUUUUCUUGGAGAAUGUCUUUAUGCAUACAAUGUUCAUUGCUACGCCCAUGGUUUACAACUUGCUCUUGUUGCUGUAGCAAAAUAUGUGGUUCCUGUUAGCCAAUUUUUUUAGAAGUUGUUGUUUAUAGUGAACAUACUUAACUCAUCAUCCAAGCAUCACAAUGAGCUUCAUGAUGCUCAAAUGGUUAGCUAUUGAUGAGCUUGAGAUCGACAAGGAGUGAAUUAGAUCUGCUCAUUGAAACAUCCAAGAGAGACAAGGUGGGGUUCACACAUAGGCUAUAUUUAAUCCCUUAUUAACAUGUUCAAUGUUGUCAGUUCAGUUCUACAAAACUUAGCUGUAGAUUCUUCUGAUGGUGCAAACCAGGCUGACGGAGAUACUUCUUUCAACUAUCUAAACACAAGACAUAGUAAAUGCCAUCCGUCUUGUGCAUUCAACAAAAUUUCUUCUUGAACAAAUGAGAUCAGAAAAUGGUUGGUAAACAAUUAUUUGCAAAGUUGUUGACUUAUGUAUGAAUCAUGGAAUUAACAUACCAAAGUUUGAUGACAUAUAUAUAUAUAUAUAUAUAUAUAUAUAUAUAUAUAUAUAUAUAUAUAUAUAUAUAUAUAUAUAUAUAUAUAUAUAUAUAUAUAUAUAUAUAUAUAUAUAUAUAUAUAUGAACGAGCUAAUGGAAGCUCAGGGCUAGGAAGCCCCAACCAAGCAGACCUCACGCGUGUUUUGUGGGCAGAGCCGGCGUGCGCCCAAUGAACCUAGUUCUGGUUCGAACAGAUCAGAGCGUAAAACGUAAACUAAAACAACAUAAACGAAUAUAAGUUUUAGUCGGUAAUCUAUUUCGUAACACAGUGUGGCAACAUGAAAAUCGGCCAUGUAGACCCCCACGCGCGUUUUGCGGGCUAGGCCGACGUGCACCUAUGUGCGUGUUUCUGGUUUGAGCAAAUCAGAUCAUAAAACGUAAACUAAAAUAACGUAAACGAUUACAAAUUUUAGCGUAAAUCAAAGAUCUGUUUCGUAAUAGAGUGAUGACGUGAAAAUCGCACACGAUGUAGCGGUAGUUUUCGUGCAUGUCGCGUAGAAAGAUUUUAAAUGUAAAACAAAUCAUAAAAUUGGACCAUUAGUUACAUAGCAACUUAGAAGAAGGAAAUGCAAAAUUCAAAUUAAAAAAAGAAAAUAUCGUAAAACGCAUAAAAAUAAGAAACUUGUUUUGUGGACAAUAUGCCAAAAUAUAAAGUACAACCAUAUUUUGUCAGUAUUGUUGCAAUCAUACACGAUUUUUUUGACAACAAAAAAUAAGGAGCUAGCCCUGUCUUCAGUACUUUAGACACUUGGAACCUUUAUCCUUUAGCUAGGUCGUGGUGUGAAAUGGAAGCAUCGCUGGUGACGAAAUGAGCGUCCAUGUAAAAGGUGUUUGUAGUGUGGUACCCGUCUAGCAUCAAGUGGUGCACAUGUCAAAACAGGUCUGUGUAAACCUGUAUAAAGCAUAAAGACACGUCAAAACAAGCAUAAGUAAAUCAAAUUUAAGUGUCGAUGACAUGUGUAACUAAAUCGCGUAUAUACAUCAGUCUCAUAAUUGAACAUGUGAUACAUCUAGAGAAAAACAUACAUGAUGCAUGAUAUUAUAACCUGGAGGAUGAAAAAGCAUGAUUUUCUUUCCCACCAUACUAUUUUCAUGACAGGCACAAAGGAAGUAGCAAAUCAUCAAUUUUUCGUUGAUUACACAACUUCACAUAUUUUUCCACUUGGUGCUCAACUCCAUGUCACAAAUAGUUUCAAGAAUUAUGAAUCAUAAGAUUGAACAACCUUGUGGAUAGACCCUUUUAUAUCCUGAUAUAAAAGUCUGAACCUUGUCACCCAUAUUCCCACAAGAAGCUCCAAAGUCCCUUGUAACUGAUAUUACUCCACCAUUAACGAAUAUGCAUAAGCAAAUUGUCACUAAUUUACGAAUCGAAGUAGACAAUUUAUUUGCUAGAUGAGCUCAUAGUUUUAAUAAGAGCCAGGAUUAUCGUGCCAACAUUAGCAGGCACCGAGGCAUGCAGCAUGCUUCACCUGCCUGGCCCAGGUUGCAAUGCAGUUCUGAUAUGUAAUGUGCAACAUUGGUAAAUAGGCUUUACAAGUUGAGGAAGUAUAACAAAUGCAGCUGGAGCCUAGGAACUAGAUCUUUUUGUCGAAUCAAGACAUGCCUAUUUUAGCUAUUGGCAUCCACAGAUUGAUGUCCAUGUUGAGCAACAACACCUUACAUUAAAAAAGACAUGGAGUUAACCAUGAAAAUUCAAAGAAACAUGUUAUAUGAGAAAUUAUAGUUCCCAAAUAUUGUGUACCAUUGAACCCCUUGCCAUGCAACUAUAGAAAUUCAACCAAUCCCACAAAAUUGUGCUCACCACCAAAACAAUUUUAAUCUGGAUUUGCCAAACCAUACAAGCAUAAAAAUUAUCCAUUUUGCAUCAUACGCCAAAUGCAAAUCUACAAAAAAACAUUCAUAUAAACAUCUUACAACAAGUGUUACUCAUACAUUACUUACACCAAGCUAACUCUAGUAAAAGCAACACUACACAGGUAGGGGACAUAAGCAUUAGGAGGAAAAUCAUAAUUAUCUCCACUAAUUAGAAAACUAGUUAUUUCGGUGCAUUGAGUGCCUGAUCGUAAAUGGGGUUACGAUUGUCAAGGUUUUGCCUCCUAUCCACACAUUGAGUUCCUAUUUAUGUCAAAGUUAUAGUAGGAGAAUGGCAUGUUCAAUUCGGUGUAAAAAACUCAAAAAGUAAACGUAAAAUCAGGAAAUCCUUACUGCUUUCUAUCUGGUUUCAUGAAAUAAUGGGGUUUGGGAACCUAGGCCUCUUUUUCUUUUGUAAAAUUUAUCCUAGGAACACAAUUGUUCUAAAAUAAGAAAAACUAGAAAUAAAAACUAUUCAUGAACAUAUACAAAAUGAAGAUGACAAGAGUUAUGAGAAGGAUAACGGGGUCAUCAUGAGGGUUGCAUCUCACAUUAAGCCUCUGUGAGCUCUGCAUAAAUUGCAUUGAAAAGACUGCAUAAAUGACUACCGACAUAUAUUAGAUUGAUACAAAUUUGUGGAUGGAAGCAUAGAAGCCUGAUUUUGAUAGAUGCAAAUACUAGGGGAUAACAACGUUGAUAAACAAGAUACUGUUGGAUCCAGGAUGUCACCGAUGUUGCAGCAAAUCGUGGUAAAUAAGAUGAAAAUCAAAAUGUAAUCUAAAAACACAAGGCGUAAAUAGUGACAUGGAAAGCAUAAAUAGUGCAAUAGUAGACAUAAAUACAACCAUAGAAGGAUAACCAUUCGGUGCAUAAAAACUCAAAAAGUAAAAUGUCAACUCAUGAAAUCCUUAGUGUUUUCUAAGUGGUUUCAUGAAAGGGUUUUUGGAAACCUAAACUUCUUUUUUCUUUGGUAAUAUUUAUCAUGGGACACAAUUGUUACAAAAUAAGAAAAACAAACAAAAUAAAGGAUGUUCAUGGACGUACAAAAUGAAGUUUGACAAGAGUUAUGAACAUGAUAACCAGGAUAUCAUGAGGGUUGCAUCUUACAUUAGAUUAUGUGAGCUCUGCUUAAAUUGCAUUGAAAAGCUGCAUAAAUGACUACCGACAUAUAUUAGAUUUAUACAAAUUUGUGGAUGGAAGCAUAGAAGCCUGAUUUAGAUAGUGCCCAAUAGUGUGGGGACAACAACGAUGAUGAACAAACAUAACUGGAUCUAGGAUGUCACUGAUGUUGCAGCAAAUCGUGAUAAAUAAGAUGGAAAAUAUAAUAUAAUAUAAAAACACAAGGCAUAAAUAGUGACAUGGAAGGCAUAAAUAGUGCUAUAGUAGGCAUAAAAUACAACCAUAGAAGGAUAAUCUCUCGAUGCAUAAAAACAUAAAAAAAGUAAAACGUAAAAUUAGGAAAUCUAACAUGUGUUUGAUGACCAAGUAUAACCAUUUGCCUAACAGCCACGGUUUAAGCAUGUAUAUCAUCGAAAAAGGAUGGCAUAUCGUUGUAUAGUUGAUUGGCCUAAAAGUGGUGCAGCAAAACCGAAACCACCUUCCCUAUUCAAACAUUCAAUUGAACUAGCAUCUAGAUCUUAUCCUAUAUGGACUGUAAAUACAUGUUUUAAUCUAGGAUGAAAAACAAAGCAAUAGCAUGGCACCUUAUCGACUCAAUUGUAUAGCACGACACCAUGAGAAUGACGUCGACAAGAAACUUUUGUUCCUGGCAAAACACAAAUUUAGCAUGCAUGAGUGAAAAGUACCAAGUGAGCAUAAUUCAAAAAAAUUACCACAUUGGUGUAAAUAGUACACAACACUGAUAACAAUUAACGACCUCUGGGUUUUUGUAGGCUGAUAGAUAAUUGAAAAAAGGUACCUAAAAUUAUGUUUUCCACUUGAUACCUGGUCUUUCUUAAAUACAUGUAUCAAUCAACAACCUCUGGAUAUAUAUAAGAUGAGGAUAACGCAAGGGAAAAUCUUGAAGGGAUAGCAGAAAUGAACUCGUAAAUGCCUAAGCACAUGGAUGAUGCAGGAAUACAGUUCCUUGAAGGGGCAACAAAAUUGAACUGGUAAAGGGCACUAGUGCCAGGCAAUGGCCGAUGUCCAACUGGGUGUUGGCCGAUCGCGAGUGCAGCCGCAUGGGAUGAAGAGGGAGUUAUCGACGACUGACCUAGGUGCUAGUGUCGGGUCGUGGUCGGUAUCCGGUUGGCCGGGCAUGAGCGCGGUCGCGCAGGAGAAUGGAGUUGGCAGUGCCGCCAUGGCUGUUCUGGGCACCGAGGGCAAACUAGGCAUGAAGGAAGAGGGCACCGACUACAACUGGUCUGGCGCAGACAUGGUGAACACUCCAAACAGGAAGAAGAUCGUUCUAUCCAACAAGACAAGGAAAAACGUAGGCAAAAAGCAACUAUACAUAGUGAAUGUGCAUGAUCUACUUACCACGAUGCAAAUGAACCUGACCUUCUUGUUCUCGCUGCAUCAGGGGCCCUUCCUCAUCGCCCGUGCACAGCCAUCAAGCAGCGCAUCGCCCCUCCAGUACCUCGCCCCCUUCUUGAACCCUGGGCAUGACACCAUUCUUGAUGUCGGGGAGGGAGGGAUCCGGUGCCACUCCUUGAGUCGUCCAAGGGGGAGAUGAGGUGGAUGGGGAUGGGAGGAUGAGGUGGCGACGAGUGCAUGCAUGGAGACAGCGAGGGCGGGUUUCACGAUGUGUGCGGGGGAAGGCGACGAGGGAUGUGGGAUGGAGAGCAGUUAGGUUUUUGAGUGUGGGUGGAAUAACAAUCCGACGGCUGGAUUUUGUGUGUGUGUGUGUGUGGCUUGCAUAUCCAUAAUGUGGAGGUUGGACCCGUGCGGUGCGUGCAGCGCACCUGGUCGGUUGUUCGGUGGUCAGGGCUCUCUUUAGUUAGAGAGAGCCUAGGGCUUCAAAUAUAUAAACUAUAUAUAUUACGUGGUGGUUGUGCUCAUCGUCAGCUUGAUCAUUUUCCAAUGAUCAUUAUUUCAUAGUUGAAGUUUUUCGGGCAAUAAUUGAUAUUCAACCGACUGAACUGAAUCUAAAAUUUAAUGAGAAGGUGAUGGAUCUUUUAUCUGUUAGUGUAAAAUUGGUACCAAAAAUGGAUUUACCUCUUUUCAGGCAAGUGAUGUGUGCAACAUGGUGAAGUACUGCCCAAAUGGUUUCACCCAACUAGAGAGGAUUGGACUAGAGUGUCAAUUGAAUCAUUUUGUUGUUGAAGCUUCUAACAGCGAAGGUAUGGAAAAUAUUGCAACCUUAGUUGACCUUUGUCGAUGCCUUAUUUCCUUAGGACGUCAUAGGGUUUUCAACUUGAUUGAUAGAUUGGUUCGCUUACUUGUUACUCUUCUUGUUUCAACUGCUAGUGUUGAGCAUGCUUUUUCUAGCUUGAAGAUAAUCAAGACAAGGUUGCAGAAUGAGAUGGAAGAUGAGUAUCUUGCUAAUAGUUUACUAAUACAUAUAGGAGGAAUCUUGGGAAACUACAUCUAUGAUGGUAUAAUUAAUGAUUUUAAGGGUCUUAAGGAGAUAAAACGGUUGUUCUAGCAUGUGUUUAAGCUACUAUAAUGACAUGCUUGUAUUUUAGUAUAUUCUAGUAAGAUGCUUCACUAUGUACUGAUACACUCAUUAUCAAUAUUAUAUUAUUACAACAGAAUUUGUGUCUUUCCUUCCACUGUAAUUAGCUUUGUUUUGUGUUCAAAAGCUUUUAUUGGCCCCCUUCAUUCAGUUGCUAGCUCCACCACUGCUUAGGCCUGUGGCCUACUCAUGGCCUAUCAAGCCUAGGAUUGAGUGUGUUGGACGUCUACAGGACUCGCAACACGACGAGCCACACCGAGACCCUAGCUAAGGAAGAUAGGGGUCGACAUGGCGCAAAGACAGAAAUGAUGGCACCUAAGCUCUUCGCCGCCCACACAACCAAUCUUAAAGACCAUGGCCAGAGAAGCUCAGACGAUUGAGGCACAUGCCGACAAGAACGACUUUACCUAGGUAGAACACCCUGUUUUACCACAAUGCAGUAGCUCUUUCCUUGAGAAGCUACCGGUAACCGACCCCCACCUCGACCUACAAAAGGAGGAGGUCAGCGGAGACACACGCACAUAUAGAUAGAUAGAGAGGGAGAGACCAUAGAGGACUAUGGAGACCGAACCCAAGGAGCACACUGCCAUGAUGCCCAAGGUUUAGCUAGGUAGAGAACACUAGAUUCAUAGUCCCUAGGCCUCAUCACGCAUAAGAGACUUGGGAGUCUCCUCCCUCUCUUGCCUGCUUGUAACCCCUACUACGAGCAUUGAGCACAGCGCGAGCCGCCGAAGACUAGAUGUAGGGACGUUCUGCUCGAACCAGUAUAAACCUUGCGCUCACUGAGCACACCAUCCGAACCCCAGAACACGUACAAACAAAUUUACUUGUUGAAGAUGGUUCAAAACACCGAUAGAUGAUGCGCCAGGUAGGGGCCUUGCACGUUCUCGGCGCCUUCUUCCUAGGAUCCGGAUGGAAAUCGACAACAACCUCCCAGAAGGCAUUGGAGCUUCCUAGAACAGAACAAUGACAAGCAGAUAUGUAUUCCACGAACCCAACACUCAUUAUUUGUGGAUUCCUUUAUAGCAACCACGUUCCAUGCUUGCUUAAGAGAAGGGGUGUCUUGAAGAAGCGAAUGACAUAGACAUUCAUAGUGUUGAAAGAGUUCUAGAAGGUUCCACCCCUUGACCUUACAAAGAUGCAGGUUUCCCCUAACCCCUCCCGGGGAGGGCGCUAUUGAGUAGGGCAUCUACCAAUUUUCGAGCGAGGCGUUUCAAGGCUUUGACCAUCUUAGCGAGCUCCACGUCACUCAAGGCGUCGCAGUAACCUUCAAUCAAGGCCUCUAGGUUGAUCCCCCUUAUAGUGGGACAUGGAGACGAUGAAUGUUUGGCUGACCCCUUAGUGGGAGAGUUCCUUUUUGACCUCUCAAACUCGGUCUGUGAAAUGCUCGAAGCUGGAGAUCAUGGGCUCAGGGCCGGAUGAAGAAAGCACCCCAGAUCGUGUGUGUGAUGUCCAUCGCCUCCGACAGAGUUCUCCUUGGCAUCUUCAAACUUCCUGUGCAAAGUUGGCCAAAGAAAAUAGGAGCAAUGGAAAGGGCAAUAGAGGGUGAGGAUGGGUGCAGGACCAUGGAGUAAGGGCGCAAAGGUCCUAACUCUUAAAGAGGCACGAAGUCUCUCUUCCUCCUUCACUCGGCCACCCACUUCCUCCUCCAAGGCCACGAUCUAAGCUUUGGCGGCCUCCUUCUCUCGCUCUAGGAUGCAAAGGCAGGAGUUUACCUUCACACACUCGAGGUGGGCGAGGGCAACUGUAUCCUUAUCUCUUUUUGUCGCUUCUGCUAGGCCGUCGUAAGCGUUCUAGAUUGAUUUGGCAUGGGCACGAGCUUCGGCGACCUCGUUCUUCGCCGCCUGGAGAUCACCGGCGAGGCGCUCCCACACUCUCCUUUGCCUGUGGAGGAAGUGGGACUUACCUGCCAGCCCCAACGCCCAUGUAAGCGACUAAGGAGCGAAAAGGAUGCUCAUGCACAAACUAUUUGAACCCAAAACUCAGGCACAAACUACCGAUUAAAAGGAUGCUCAACUGAAUCACUUAUUAAACAAAAUAUACACAUGUGCCUCACAUGAUGCAUCAACCAUGUUCACUUAUUAACACUUGAAUGUGAAACGAAAACUCCCUACUACUUGGAAGUAAAUGAAUAAAGGAGCUAAACGGAAGAGGGGGAGAAGGUAACACCCGAAUUUGGUGAAUAUUAAAAAAGAAAUUUUAUACCCCCAAAUUCAGGGUGUUACACCCUACCUAGCGCGCCAACUGUCAUUGUUUCAAACCUUUCUCUAGCAAGUAAAUUUUUGCGUGUGCAUUCUAGGUCAUGAGUGCGCUGCAACAUGAGUGGGAGGCAGAUCGACGCCUCUGUCGUGGCUCCAUGCCAGGCAUAGUUAAUGUGACUGGUCACUUAUGGUGGGUCGAUCUCGAGCUAGGCGAGGGAUCCACUCGAGUGGUUUCCCUUCGGUUCGCCCAGCCCCCCUGUCUAGUUCUGCCAUGCCCAACCCAGGGCUCGGUGCCACGGGUUUUGUCCAGGGGCGGGUGCUUCCUAAAGGGGAAAUUAGGUUAAUCAUUUCCUAUAACUAAUUUUGGUGGUUGAUAAUCAACACAAACACAUGGACUAACUAGUUUGUUCUAGAAAUCAUCUAUUAUAGGUGCAUAACGUUCAACAAAAACCAAGAAAGAAAUCAAGUUAGGGACUCAAUUUGAAAUGGAGCAAAGAACUUGUGUGUGCUGAAAAAGGUGCACCGGACUGUCCGGUGUGCCACCGGACAGUGUCCGGUGCACCAGGGCCGUACACUCCAAGCUAACCACUCUCGGGAAUUCCAGGGCGCGCUCCGCUAUAAUUCACAGGACUGUCCGGUGUGCCACCGGAGCAACGACUAUCUACGCCAACGGUCGACUCUGACACCAGGAACGGUGCAGCACAGUACCACGCAGAAGUCAAAGCAGCGAAGUUAGAGGGGCACAGGACUGUCUGGUGCCACAAGAGGACAAAGCCUCCAACGGUCGACUAGCUCCGAACCCUAACGGUUGGGUGACGUGGCAGCGCACCGGACAAGGAACAGUGCUUGUCCGAUGGCACACCGGACUGUUCGGUGCGUCCAUCGCCAGCAGCCUCCCCAACGGCUACCAAAGUGGUUGGGGGCUAUAAAUACCCCCCCAACCACCACAACCAUUGGCAUCCAAGUUUUUCAGAGAUCACAUUCAAUACAAGAGUUAGUGCAUUCACUCCAAGACACAUUUCCAAAGAUCAACUCCUAUCCAAGUCUAGAAUUCAUCUCAACCAAUUAGUGACUUGAGAGAGUGUGUGUUCGUGUUCUUUUGCACUCUUGUUUCUUGGAUUGCCUUUCUUCCAUUCUCAUUCUUAUUCCCAAGUGACUUGUAAUCAAAGCAAGAGACACCUAAGUGUUUGGUGGUCCUUGCGGGGUCUUAGUGACCCGAUUGAUUAAGGAGAAGGCUCACUCGGUCUAAGUGACCGUUUGAGAGAGGGAAAGGGUUGAAAUAGACCCGGUCUUUGUGACCUCCUCAACGGGGACUAGGUUCUUUGGAACAAAGAACCGAACCUCGGUAAAACAAAUCACCGUGUUCACUCGCCAUGAUUCUUGUUUGAUUUGUUUUCCUCUCUCUUUGGACUUUAAUUUAAUUCUAACGCUAACCCUAGCUUGUAGUGUGUGUUUAAAGUUACAAAUUUUAGGUUUCGCCUAUUCACCCCCCUCUAGGCGACUUUCAAUUGGUAUCGGAGCCAGUGCUUCAUUAAGAGUCUAAGUGAUGUCUAGAGAUCACGCCAAGAGGGAGAUCAUGACCGGCGAAAAGGCCGCAAGCUCGGAGAGGACUCUCUCAAGGGAGUCCGGCAACAAACACAAGGAGGAAUCCUCUUCCUCCAUCAAGUCGCAUCGGAGAGGUGACAAGAAGAAGAAGAUGAAGAAGGUGGUCUACUACAAGACCGACUCUUCGUCACCCUAUACAUCAAGCUCCGAGAUAUCCAUCGCUUCUAAGCGCCAUGAGCGCAAGAAGUAUAGUAAGAUGCCCCUACGCUAUCCCCGUAUUUCAAAGCAUGCUCCAUUACUUUCCGUACCCCUAGGCAAACCACCAAAUUUUGAUGGUGAGGAUUAUUGCAUGUGGAGUGAUAAAAUGAGGCACCAUCUAACCUCACUCCACGAAAGUAUUUGGGAUAUUGUUGAGUAUGGAGCGCAGGUACCUAAGAUGGGGGACAAGGACUACGACUCGGACGAGGCCGCCCAAAUUAGGCACUUUAACUCCCAAGCCACGUCUAUACUCCUCGCCUCCUUGUGUCGAGAGGAGUAUAACAAAGUGCAAGGGUUAAAGAGCGCCAAAGAAAUUUGGGACAUCCUCAAAACCGCGCAUGAAGGGGAUAAGGUGACCAAGAUCACCAAGUGUGAAACGAUUGAGGGAGAACUCGGUUGAUUCGUCCUCAACAAAGGGAAAGAGUCGCAAGCCAUGUACAACCAGCUCAAGACGAUGGUCAACCAAGUGCGCAACCUUGAGAGCACCAAAUGGGAUGACCAUGAAAUGGUCAAGGUUAUUCUAAGAUCCCUUGUUUUUCGUAAUCCUACUCAAGUUCAAUUAAUACGUGGGGAUCCUAGAAACAAACUAAUGUCUCCCAAGGAAGUGAUUGGCAAGUUUGUGGGCUUUGAACUUAUGAUCAAAGACUCCAAACACAUUGUCAACUUGGAGCAAGGCGCCACCUCUAUACCCGAGGUGCAACCCAUCGCAUUCAAAGUGACGGAAGAGAAGAAGGAGGAGUCUACACCAAGUAGGCUUCCAAUUGACGCCUCCAAGCUCGACAACGAGGAAAUGGCGCUCAUCAUCAAGAGCUUCCGCCAAAUCCUCAAGCAAAGGAGGGGGAAGAACUACGAGUCCCACUCUAAGAAGGUGUGCUACAAGUGUGGUAAGUCAGGUCACUUUAUUGCUAAAUGUCCAAUCUCUAGUGAAAGUGACAGGGACAAAGACAAGGGGAAGAAGAAGAAGAAGAGGUACCACAAGAAGAAGGGCGACGAUGCCCACAUAUGUCUGGAAUGUGUAACACCCUUGGUGUUACUGUCACUAAAACUUGAGCAUAACAUCAUGAGCAUUAGCAUAAUCAUGUGUUUGUUACACUUAGAAUGCAUUCACUAGGCAAAAAAUUCAAACAAGUUGUAUUGAGGUGACUGGUCAUGGGUGAAACCCUAGGGUAGGGUACUUAACCCUAAACUAGGCCUAGGAGUGUCAAUAAAGCCCAAAUGAGAGAAAACUUCAAAACUCAUGAAAAAUAAUCAUAAGAUAUCACAUUUAAUGGACUUAAGUGGCACCCAAACCCUAGAAGUGCCAAAAACCCUAAAAGAUGCCUGGAAAACCCAAGUUAAAAACCUAAGGGGGUUAUAUGUAAAUUUUGCACACUUUUGGACCCAAGUGUAAAAACCAAGGAAUUAGGGUACCCUAAAGCAUAAGGUUCACAUAUUUGAGGAUUUCCAAGUCAAAAGAUGAGAUUUGGGGCUUAUUUGCAAAAGGCCACUCUACACCUCUCAUGUGGCUAAGCCUGAAAAUAAGAGAACAGGGCUGACUUUGGAGCUCUGUAGUUUUAAAAAUACAAAAAAAAUGCCUAGGGUCAACACAUCAAAAGUCUAGAGCUAUAAUAGAAGAACAACUUUGCUUAAGUAACUAAGCUUUGAUCACAUACAAAGUUUGGAGAAAAAUAAGCUCAAAGUGGUGCUGUCAAUCACUCUCAUGACUGAAUUUUGUUCACCAGUGACAUUGGCCAGACUUUUGGGUCGAAUUAGAGUGGGAUCUAUUGCUCGAUUAGGGAUAGUUGCUAUAGUCGAUUUGUAGCUGGAUCAUACGGCUACAAGUUUGCUACAGAUGCAUUGGCAAGUUGUUGCACAAAAAUUCGAGAUCUAGGCAUUGCAAUUCGGCCUGUCAGGCACUCUGAAUCAGGGCUUCGAUGGUACAGUGUAAAGAUCAGAUCACCAGUUCAGAUAACUCACCGCCGGCGACCAUGCGCCCGGAUUUGUGCCCGCCGCGGUGAUUCGUGCUCGGCGCAGUUGGAUAACGCAGAAGGGUAAGAAAUAUCGCACUGCGAGUGAACUCCGGUCACUAUUCUACUCCGGCCGCCGUACCCGCCUGAGUCACGGCCGCUUCGGAUAGGUUCACCGGAGUUAGCCACCUCGUGACCUUGUGCCACGUGCCCUGGCAUCUUACCACGUCGCACUAGCUCAUGUUAUGCAUAUCCGGUGAUCGUCGGUGAGCUCGCCACGGUGAAAGCCACCAAUCGCUUGCGCCAGUGCACCCCCUUCUCUCUGACCGCCACCGCGCGAUCUCAAAUUCACGGGCCAUCGCUCAAGGGCCCUAUAAAUUGAUCACACCCUCGUCUCCGCUAAGUAUUCAAGCAUCCAAUCCACCCGCUCGUGCCACCAAUUACUCACCAGAGAGUCCCAAUUUGGGAUUUCCCCCAAAUCGGCCCGAAACACCGCGCAUAGUGACCUCGCCGUGGCUAGCUCGUUCCAGGUCCGUUCAUGCUCUCUGCUCUCCCGUUUCAGUGCCCUUAUGUUCUCCUGAUGCUCCUUGACCCGUCCAAUUAAGCUAGACCGCACUAGAUCGCCGAGAACACUUCUGUUCAUCCGUUGUUCGCACUGUCUCUGUGGACAGGGCGAUUUAGAGUUCAGAUCGUGCAAUUGAUCGAGGAGAAAUGGUUAUUAGGGGUUAAAUUCGGUGUCAACCGCACGGGAGCACCGGUAGUUGAGUUAUCCGGCCAGUACAGGCUUGCCGGAGCCCGGUCUGCCGCCGUGCGACGCCAUGGACCUGACGUUGUGAAGAAAUAGAAGUCUGGGGGGUUUGUCACUGUCAGUGAAACGCGGGAGUAGUGUCGCGACCUCUUUUCAAGUUAUUCAAAUCGUCAGGGUCUUCUGCGCAAAAUCGACAGCGCAUGGGUGGGCGCGCGCGUGUUUCCCCCUUCUGCAGGCCGGUUUGGGCUGAAUUCAGCCCAACACUGUUCAUAGUUUUUCUUUUUCUUUUUCUGCCAGGGUUAGAGAAUUUCUAGAAAAUUGUAGAAAAAUGCUAAAAAUACCAGACCAAAUUUGCUAGGUUCCUAAAAUUCUAUACUAUUUAAUAAAAAUAGUUUAAUGAUUUUUAGUCCAAAUAAGGAAUUAUAGAGUAUUUAAAAUAGCCAAAACCUAUACUCCUAGAAUUUUAGAAAUUGAUUAUUAACUCCAAAAAUCACUAAACUUUUUAGAUAAGCUUUAAAUAAUAUUUAGCAGCCUUGGGUGAAGUUUGGCAUGAUUUGGACAAUGUCUGGUGCCAAAACCCUAAAACCUUAAUCUUCUAGUGAUGCCUGCCCUAUGAACUACACUACUGACUCCAAAAACCCUAGUUUCCUGGAGUCCCGUGAAGGAAAAUUGUAUUCAAGACCUAAGAUAAUAUACCUUUAUUAUAUUUGCAUUUUCAUAAGCAUUACAUGAGCAUUCAUGGUUAUAUAUGUGAUAUAUAUAGAAAACAAAGAAGAAGUAGAAGUUGAAGAAGCAAGAGCUACGCCACCACGUGAAGACCCACCUGUCGGGAACCACUUUUAUUUUGACAUUUGUGGAGCAGAGCCCGACUCUCCUGUAACACAAGGCAAGCCCCGGUGCAUUUGCCACCCCCUUGCUAUUUUAAAAUCUUUUUCACUUGCUUGAUGCAUUAAGUGAUAGGAGUUGUGUGCUAAACACUUGCUGCAUUUCCUUCCUUGAGAAUUGAUUACCUUUCCUUGAUCCCCUGUUUUAUAAAAAGGUUUUUCUUAUGCUUAGUCUUGCUCUAGAAAAACAAAAUGUUUUGUUUUGACAAAAGAUGAUGCCCCAAGUGGGAUGGGAUGUUUUCAAAAUAAAACUUGAUGGUGAAUCCAUCAUGGCCAUGAUGGGUCAACAUCGGAAAAGAUGUACCUCUGUCAGGUACCAAACUUUGGGUUGAAAUGAUAAAGCUGAGACCGGGCGGGUGACUUGCACGAGAAGAGAGUCUCAGUGUAGUGUCUCCGUCUGAGUCGAUUAAGGACCUUGUCGAUGUAGGCUUGCUGAUCGAGGACCUUUUAACUGGUCACAUGCCUCAUCAUGGGUAAGCUUUGCCUCGGGCAGACUAAUCUCUACUAAUCCUUAAGACAAUACUGUAGACUUGGCACAACCAUGCCCCCGCCCCUAUCCCGACCGUUCGAUUGCCGAAUCCACCCCGCAUACCUCAUCUGCCAUCCAUUCUCGCUCCCUCGCAUGCCUCGCUCCCGCCCUCGACCCCGCCGCCAUGCGCGCAUCCGCCUCCGCCCAACAACCAUGCGGGAUCCUCGCCCAACAGCCAUGCGCGCCGACUACGCCUCCACCGGAUCCGGCCUUCCUAUAGUCAUCCUGUCAUCCAACAGGGAUCCCGGCCACAUAGAGUUUCGCCCGAAUCGAUCGCCGAUUGACUCCGCUAGGGUUCGGCUCGAUCGUCGCUUCGUCCUCUCGGCUCCCGCAGGGACCCCGCCGAGAUGUCUGACCGGAGCUCGCCGGCUGCGCCGACGUUCUUCCUUUUGGCCCGCAGGCCGAGGCGUGGGACGUCACCUUCAAGGUGAGGCAUCCGAUCGAUUUUUCUUUCUUUCUUUACUACACUCCUUUGCGAUAUGGGGACGGCACUCGGUAGUGGCGUGAGGUGAGGUAAAUCGCGUUAGUUUAGUUGUAGGGUUUGAUCGCUUCAGGGGGGACCAGGGGUUGGGCUUUCCGUGUUGAACCGUCAAUCGGACGUAGUAGUAGUGCGGAUUCGAGGUUUGAUCGAUGGAAAGAGGGGUUGUCCGCACUCUUGGUGUGGUUAUAGGGUUUUGCGAUUUGUUUGUCUGUGUAGGCCCGUUUCGUCUCGAGGAGUAGAUUUUCAUUGCUACUAACAAUCCCUAUGUGGUUUGGUGAACACGUAUUUUGGUCUGUAUAUGGUUUAAACGUGAAGACUAUGGUAGUGUGAGACCAUGAUUUGGAUCCUUUUCUGUGGCAUUAUAGUUAAAAUCGUGAGGAUGCACCUAUAUCUAUCUUUUAGCGCUUAGGGUAUUGUUAUAGACGAGAUCCCCUCUUUGGGCUCUAAAAAUAGCAAGAAAAAGACAUCUUUUGGGCAAGUUAACGUCCUGUAUUAUUCUGAACGAGAUAUGUUUACUUUCUUAUAAGUUUGAUGUUUUGGUCUGGAAUAUGGUUGCGUUCAUCUUCCAAUUAGUGUGUUUGCAGUAUGUGUUGGUGUAGUUUCUCUGUGGGCAUUUUGUGGCCACAGAAAUGAUAGAUUUUAAGAAAGGUUUAGGCAGAAGGGUACCUUAAGUGUUGUCCAGUACAAAGUAACAAUUUGUAGCACUUGUUUCUUUUCUUUUGUUUGACUAUAUGAAAUUUCGGCCAUGUAAUUGUUUCAAAAUAAUAAGAUCGAAUAGUGUUGCACACUACUUCCCAGUCCUAUGUAUACUUAUAAGAUUUUUCCUCUUUGAUAUUUCAGGUCAAAUAUGGUGAUACACUUAAAAGGUUUUAUGGUUGUGUCAAUGGGAAUCAUUUUUUACAUGAAUUUAUCUACUCUACGGGCGAGGAUUGAUACUGCCUUUAAGUUUGGUCCUGAUGUUGACUUUGUUCUGACUUACACCGAUGAGGAUGGUGAUAUUGUCAUGAUAGAUGAUGAUGAUGACUUGCGUGAUGCAGCUCUUCGUCAGAAAUUAAACCCUCUCAGGAUUACUGUUCAACUGAAGAAAAAUCAACCAACUGCAAAAAAGAUACUUCUGCCUUAGGAUUCGAAAGCAUUAAGCAAACAAGAUGUUCAAGCCUACACACAUACACUCCCCUGAUUUUAUAUGAAAAUUCCCUGCCUUCACUGUGGCCUAAGAGGCUUGUGAACAUCUCAAGCAGAAUCAAAAGUCAAAGCAAAUAUGUCUUGAGUUUUCUUCUUUUUGGUUAAUUCCCUUUCUGUUUUUUUGUCAACGUGUUUCAGUAUUUAGCUAAUAGUGAAUGGGAGAAGGGUUGAGUUUUGGAGCCGGUGCAUGCAAAUCAUAUACCAGGUUUAUGCUAUAAUGUUUUCCUUAUGAAGAAUUAAAUAUUUGUGUGUGUUUAUAUUGUGAAUCAUCUCUAUUUGUUUGUUUACUCGUGCCUUGACCAUAACAUGUGAAUUAUCUGAAGGGAGGGGGUAUAGAAUUAGCAAACUACUGCAUUGUCUCUUAAAUACAGAUAGGAUGUGCAAUGCAAUGUUACCAAUGCAUAUUGUGCCAUGAUGGAGACGCGCUGCCUGUACACUUGAGCUUUUCUCCUAUUUAAGCUCAGGGCAGGUGGAAUGUGGAGUAAAUCUGAGUUUAUUGUUUAUCGUCGGCUUCACUUUUGAGGAAUAGCAACGUUUUUGAAUUUUAUCGAGACAUACCUGAUAAACUUAUGUGGCGUUCUCCCGUCUGCACCCUCUGCUUCUGCCCCUAUGGCCCAGUGACGUUUCUGCAUGGACACUGAAUCAUUUGUCGUCUUCAGGCUAAAGUCAUGCUAAAUCUACUCAUUAUUGCUUGCAGAAAGUUUUGGCGAUUACUGUUCCUUUUUCCCAGCAGAUUAUGGCUGGAGAGUGCAAACUGGUGGGCUCGGCAAGUUGCUGCGACUACAGGGAAAUCUUGUGGAAGAUAAUGGAGCAAGUAAAGGCAGAAUCUGAUCAAUGGAUUGAGAUGCAAGAUAUGUUGGAGCAGGUGAGGUUGGAGAUGCAAGAGCUGCAGGCUUCCAGAGAUGCAUGGCAGCAUCGACCAAUGGCUUCUGACAUUAAUUAGUCUACGCUCCUUGAAUUCCCAAGUAAGUAGAGUUUCUAGGCAGCUAUGCUUAUGCCUUCGUAAUUGAAUUUAUUUGUGUCAAACGUAAAUGCACUGAAGUACUGAGCGUAGAUCAAUUUUGAAUGGGGCAUUUUGGUGUCUAUUAGACUCAUGGUAACCAAGGUGCUGCAUUGUGAAGGUUGUGGACCUGUGGUGAAUCGAUGACAACACUUGAGUACUUAACGAAAAUUUAUCUAAUUUUUUCACUGCAUUUUCUAUCAUAAUUCUUACUCAAGAAUUCUGCUGAACUACACUAUUUGUCGAAAAGAACUUCAUAAUUUCUGGCAUUGAAGUACUGAACCCUGAAUGCUUACCAGCCCCAGCUCGAAAGCAAGCUACACACUUUCAAAGCCCACUUACCAGCCACAGCUGCUAUUCCUAACCAAAAGCAAUGGUCGGAUGCGUGCAAGAUGGAGUACCCAAGAGCAAAGCCUCAGCACCCGCGGUCCUAGGAAUCCGGCAAGGAGGAGAUCAAGAAGCACAUCCUCAUCUGCUGCGUGAAGCGCUCACUCAGCAGCGUGCUCUCGAAGCGAUCGCCGUUCCAGGAGAUAGGCAACAUCAGCUUGCCGCGGCAUCGGUGAGGACUGAGGAGCAUGGGUGGCGAUGUUGCUCUGUGAAAAUGCGAAGGGUUCGGCCGUAAGCAGGAGAGAGAGCUCUUUGAGUUUGGCGUCCUGUGGGGGAUAGAUAUCCCCUGGGUCCACUAAAGAAGUAAAAGGCCUCACGAACGGCCCAAGGGCCCAAUAAUUCGUAAGGUCAUUCUUUCGUGGGCCUAGGGAGAGACAGCCAACAAAGGAGACGUGAGACUAAUUAAUGCAAACACAGGCGGCCCACAACGUCGAACGAACGGAUCACAACAGAGACCCGACUUUCCCGCGCUGAAGCCCUCAUGCAACAGAGCCAUGCGAGGAUAAGUCGGCGAAGGUUACGUAGGGAUAAGCUCAAGGGGUUCACUAUCUUCUAGCUACUUGUUGUUAUCGUAUCACAUGUACUGCCCCACGGUCGAGUAUAUAAGGCCUAGGGGGCACCCCUUCAGAUCGAUCGACCCUGUUCUACUAAGCCACCCACAAAAACUCUCUGCGCCCUCUAUCCAGAGAAUCCUCUUGUAACCACGCUCAUAUACUCACCAGGACGUAGGGUGUUACGCACUUCUAAGCGGCCCGAACCUGCAAAUCUUGUCCAUUGUCCCUCGUGCGAUCGGCACGAACCAUUUUGCUACAGUCGUCGGCACCGUCCUACUCCUAAAAGCACCUUGAGGGGCAACCCCGGGUGUGCGGUCAGACCCAAAACACCGACAGCUGGCGCGCCAGGUAGGGGGUGUGUCGACGAUCCAAGCUAGCUCAAUGGCCGUCACCUUCCACAGCAAGAUUACCAUGCGUCCCGGAUCCACAUUCUGCUUCGGGACAAUCUCAUCCGUGGCGGACGAAGAAGGAAUUCUACACCGCCUCGCAGAUCUACCGGAACAGAAGUCUCCUCCAACAAACUCCGAAAAUGCUGGAAAAACGCUACCUCCGGCUCUUCGGAACAAGAUCGCCUCCAGGGAGGCUGGAGCUAGAAGCUCGCUGACCCGGAAGACUCCGCUGUCUACUUCCCCGACGAAAGAAUGGACACAGGUCAUGAGAAGGAAGGAGAUCAAGGAGAGGCCAGUCAUUCUUCCCGUUCCUCCGACCUCAAAGGAGAACGGAAAGAAAGUCGCCGCGGCGGCAAUACCGUUCUACCCCGACGUCCUCUUCAUCGGGAGGGCAGAAUCGCCCACCGUCUCCGACGAUGAACCGACUGUGCCCGGAGAAGAACCGCCUCAGCGAGAAUCCCGCCGACGAAGGAACCGACGCAGGAACGUUCGACGACAUCAUGCAGCUGGAGAACGGGAUCCGGGGCAGCCUGUCUCGCGAGACGAGGUCUCAGAGAUAGGAGAAACUCCGGAAGAACGCGUCUUCAGGGAACGAAGGAACUCCCGACGACGAGAUCGCCGUCGGACUCAGGAGCAAGCCGAGCAAGAUGCAAGGCAACGACGCGAGAAUCCGCUCUUCGGGCGCAACCUGAACCCUGACUUCGCCCGAGCUAUGAAUACGCCGAGCGAAGUCGGAGGCGUUCUGGCCCGGAUAGCCGACGGACUUCCUCGGACCCCCGAUGCCGAGGGAUACCGGCGCCUGCUCACUCAGGCAGCCAACCAUCUUCUACCGCUCGCCCACCCGCCGAACGAUCUGCGACACGCCAUCAACAGUCGCCGAGACGCGCGAAGCUCUAUCAAUGCUUCGCGCGAACGGCGACACGAGAACGAAAUUCGUCGUCGGGAGGAGUAUGACCGAGAUCAUGGCUUCCCGACUCAAAGCCAGGCCACCCGAACUGAGUCGGCAACAGCUUCAACUGGUGGAACCACCCGGGGACGGUCGAGGAACCACCACCGCCACUCCCCUCCCCGGGACAGACGACAUCCUCGACGACAGGAGGACACGUGCGGAGUAUCUGCUCUUACUCCGCGCCUUAGGGCCAUCCAAUGGCCUCCCAACUUCAAGGUAUCCAAUGUCGACAAAUAUGAACCUAAGCAGGAUCCAGGGGGCUGGUUAGCCGUCUACACCACCGCUGCUCGGGCUGCCGGGGCAUCCGAGGACGUCAUGACUGCGUAUCUGCCCAUCGUCCUCGGGCAAGACGCGCUGCAGUGGCUACGACAUCUACCCCGACACUGCAUCGAUGACUGGGGAGACUUCAGCCGACGUUUCACCGCCAACUUCCAGUCUCUCUCCGACAAGCCAGCGCAACCAUGGGACCUCAAAUCCAUCAAGCGCCGGGGGGAUGAGACUCUCCGGUCAUACCUUAAAAGGUUCCAGACCAUGAGAAACCGCAUCCCCGAGGUCACGGAGGCGGCCGUGAUCGAGGAUUUCUACAGAGGAUCUAAUGACUCGGCUUUCGUCCGAGCCAUACUGCAAAAGGCGCCAACCACCUCCGAGGAGCUAUUCCGGGAAGCCGACCUCUACAUCACCGCUGACGAGCGGGCCCAGGACCUCAUCGGAGGAGCAAAACCCGCACCGGCGGCACCACGACGCGACGCGAACCAGCCGCCCGACAAGCGCUGGGAGAAGAGGCCUCGCGAAGAGGUACACGCCGCCGGACCACCCGCCUCUUGCGCCCGAGGAGGACCUCGUGGAGGCGAACGCACGCUGGACGACAUCCUCGACGCCCAGUGCCCGUACCACAAGGAUAUGCGCCACACUCUCCGCAACUGCCGGGACUUCAAGCACUCCGUCGGGCAUGGCCGACCCUUCCAACCUCUACCACCUCCUCCGCCGAGGGGAGGACCAGAUGAACCACGACAGCCCCAUCAGCCGGAGGAGGGGGGAGGAGGAGCUUUCCCGCGCGUUGACAGGGAGGUCAACGUCAUCUUCGGCGGACAUGGGUCGCAGGAGAACAAGAGACAACAAAAGCUCAACGACCGGCAGAUAUUGGUGGCGACCACCGGCCCUCCCGCCCCAUACCGGUGGUCGGAGCACCCAAUCACGUUCACUCGGGAUGAUCAAUGGCUCAACUUCGACCACCCGGGCAAAUACCCGCUCCUCGUCGAUCCGGUGAUCCGAGAGAGCCGGGUGAAGAAGGUGCUAGUGGACGGGGGGAGCAGCAUCAAUGUCACCUUCCCCCGUACGCUUCAAGGCUUGGGAGUUCACCUCAAAGAGCUCCAUGAGUCAGACACUCCUUUCUUCGGCAUCGUGCCGACGGAAGGGGAAUACCCGCUGGGCCACAUCUACAUGCCGGUCACCUUCGGGACUCCGGAUAACUACAGAACCGAGUUCCUGAGGUUCGAGGUGGCGAACUUCGACUGCGGGUACAACGCCAUCAUCGGGAGGCCAGGGCUGGCCAAGUUCAUGGCCAUCCCACACUAUACGUACAUGAUACUGAAGAUGCCCGGACCACAAGGAAUCAUAACUGUGCGCGCUGACUUCCAAGGCGCCGCGGAAUGUUUCCGAGUGGCCAUCCAAGCAGCCCUCACCACCAAGCCGUCAACGGUUCCUUCUACACCGGCGAACUCUAAGCCUGAUGAAGACCUCGCCGUGCCGGCAAACGAAGCUCAGGCCGCGACCUCUAUGCGGCCGACUGAGGACACCAAGCGGAUCAACCUGGGGUUCGCUGAUGAGCGCAAGACGGCCAUCAUCAGCUCCAGUUUGAGUGACAAAUAGGAAAGCGCGCUCGUCUAGUUCCUGCAAGAUAACCGAGACGUAUUCGCAUGGCAACCUGCGGAUAUGCCGGGAGUCCCAAGAGAACUGGCCGAGCACAAAUUGAAGGUCUAUCCCCAGGCGAGGCCGAUCCGGCAAAAGCUGCGUCGUUUCACGCCCGACAAGAGAGAAGCCAUUCGUGCCGAGUUGGCCCGCCUGGUCGCGGCCGGAUUUAUUAGAGAAGUAUUACACCCCGAGUGGUUAGCCAACCCUGUUCUUGUACUCAAAAAGAAUAAAGUGGAUUGGCGCAUGUGCGUCGACUAUACCGAUCUCAACAAACACUGUCCGAAGGAUCCCUUCGGGCUCCCAAGGAUAGAUCAGGUGGUGGAUUCCACCGCUGGAUGUUCGAUGUUGUCUUUCUUAGAUUGCUAUUCCGGGUAUCAUCAGAUUAGUUUGGCAAAAGAAGACGAAGAAAAAACGGCGUUCAUCACCCCGUUUGGUGCUUUCUGUUACACCUCCAUGCCGUUCGGCCUCAAAAACGCUGGAGCGACUUAUCAGAGAGCUAUUCAAACAUGCUUAGCCGAUCACUGGGGCAAGCGUGUGGAAGCUUACGUGGACGAUGUGGUGAUCAAAACGGAGAAUCCGGAAAAUUUCAUCGAAGACUUACAGCUAGUUUUCAACAGCUUGAGAAGAUAUAGAUGGAAGCUCAAUCCUGAGAAAUGCGUCUUCGGGGUACCAGCAGGAAAGUUACUCGGAUUUAUUGUCAGCCACCGGGGAAUUGAAGCUAAUCCAGAUAAGAUUGAAGCUAUCAUGAAGAUGGAAGCUCCUCGAUCGCAAAAGAAGGUUCAGCGACUCACUGGAUGUAUGGCAGCCCUGAGCAGAUUCAUAUCCAGGCUGGGAGAAAAAGGUCUGCCAUUUUAUAAACUGCUGAAGAAGGUGGAUAAGUUUCAAUGGACUUCAGAGGCACAGGAAGCCCUAGACGCACUGAAGAAAUUCCUGACGACGCCGCCAGUAUUGAAACCGCCCCGGCGAGCUACGCCGACUCAGCCGGCUGAAGAUCUGCUGUUAUAUAUCUCUUGCACGACUCACGUGGUAAGCACUGCGUUGGUAGUCGAGCGAGUGGAAGAAGGGCAUGCCUACCCGGUACAACAUCCCGUCUAUUUCAUCAGUGAGGUUCUAGGCCCAUCGAAGAAAAAGUAUCCUCAAGUUCAGAAGCUAUUAUAUGCAAUACUUCUAACUGCCCGCAAACUGCGCCACUACUUUGACGACCACAAAGUCACAGUAGUUACUGGUUUUCCAAUAGGGGACAUUCUUCACAACAAGGAAGCCAUUGGCCGAAUAGCCAAGUGGGCUUGCGAGUUGGGGUCCCAUGAUAUCGAGUUCCGACCUCGCACCGCCAUCAAAACUCAAGCACCGGUCGACUUCGUAUCAGAGUGGACAGAACAGCAAGUGCCGGAUAAUCCAGAAACCACAGAAGUAUGGCGAAUGUAUUUUGAUGGCUCGCUGAAGCUGCAGGGAGCAGGAGCAGGAAUUCUCUUCACUGCACCUGGAGGCGAACACCUCAAGUACGCUCUCCAAUUGCUAUUCCCGGCCUCUAACAACGCAGCCGAGUAUGAAGCUUUGAUACACGGAUUAAACAUCGCCAUAUCGCUGGGUGUCAAGAGACUGAUGGUGUACGGGGAUUCUCUGGUAGUCAUCAGUCAGAUAAACAAGGAAUGGGAUUGUUCAAGUGAUUCAAUGGGAAGAUACUGCGCCGCCGUCCGAAAGCUAGAAGAUAAAUUCGAAGGCCUGGAGUUUCAUCAUAUAGAAAGAGAUCGGAACACGGCGGCUGAUGUACUGUCCAAGCUCGGAUCCGGUCGGACUCAAGUCCCGCCCGGGGUCUUCAUGCAAGAAAUCAAUCAGCCGAGCAUCUCGACGGAUCAAAUAGAAGAGUGCAACAUCAUAGACCAACCCGAGUCAGACUCUGAUGACUGGAGGCAACCGAUUAUUAAGUAUAUAAAGAAUGAAGAAGAGCCGGAUGACAAGAAUUUGGCAGAGCGUAUUGCCAGACAAUCAGCUCACUAUACACUCAUUGGGGAGGUGUUAUACCGGAGGGGCGCGUCAGGCGUCCUCAUGAAGUGCGUUCUCCCGUCCACCGGGAAACAACUUCUGGAGGAAGUCCAUGCAGGGCAGUGCGGGGUACAUGCAGCAUCCAGAACAUUAGUCGGGAAGGUUUUCAGGUCAGGAUUCUAUUGGCCGACGGCAAAGAAUGAUGCAGCCGAGCUAGUUCAGAGAUGCGAAGCCUGCCAGUACCUGUCAAAACAACAGCACAUGCCAGCACAGCAGCUACAAACCAUACCAGUAACUUGGCCUUUUGCAUGCUGGGGAUUGGAUAUGAUUGGACCUUUCAAGAAAGCUCAAGGAGGAUACACCCAUGUAUUGGUGGCAAUUGACAAGUUCACUAAAUGGAUAGAGUUUCAGCCCAUUGCCUCCUUAACCUCUGCUAAAGCCGUGGAAUUCAUACAAAGCAUAAUAUUCAGAUUUGGGAUACCCAACAGUAUCAUCACCGACUUGGGAUCCAACUUCACCAGUUCAGAAUUCUUUGACUUCUGCGAGCAAAAAAGCAUUCAGAUCAAGUAUGCAUCUGUAGCCCAUCCAAGAGCCAACGGGCAGGUUGAGCGAGCCAACGGAAUGAUAUUGGAGGCACUCAGAAAAAGGGUCUUUGACAAAAAUGAAAAAUUCGCAGGAAAAUGGAUAAGAGAAUUGCCUUAUGUUGUUUGGAGCUUGAGAACUCAACCUAGCCGGGCCCUGCAUGGAAACACUCCUUUCUUUAUGGUCUAUGGGUCGGAGGCAGUGCUACCUGCUGAUCUCAAGUUUGGGGCGCCAAGAUUGAUCUUCGAAAGCAUAGCAGAAGCCGAAGCCACUAGGCUGGAGGAUAUCGACGUACUCGAGGAAGAGCGACUGAAUGCGGUGAUUCAAUCAGCACGAUACCAGCAGACUCUAAGGCGCUACCACGACAAAGCUGUGCGGCAACGUUUCUUUUCGAUGGGAGACCUCGUCCUCCGCCGAAUUCUAACGGGGGAGGGACGGCACAAGUUAUCACCCUUAUGGGAGGGACCUUUCAUAGUAGCAGAAGUCACUCGUCCCGGAUCAUAUCGCCUCACCCAAAUGGAUGGUACAGAAGUCGGGAACUCCUGGAACAUAGAGCACCUCCGAAAGUUUUACCCAUAGCUGUAUCUCAAAACAGCCAGGGUGACCAUGUAUUCUGUAUAAAGGAAAUAUGACAUCAAUAAAGAGAGAUUUCAAAGAUACUUGACUCAUUUAUGAUUGACUUGCAUUCUUACUUAACUCGGGGUGACCACUAUGCCCUACGAACGGAGCAAUCGGCUUAAGUCGGCAACGACUUAAGGCGGUGCAACAUGCUCACGCUUACUUAACUCGGGGUGACCACUAUGCCCUACGAACGGAGCAAUCGGCUUAAGUCGGCAACGACUUAAGGCGGUGCAACAUGCUCACGCUUACUUAACUCGGGGUGACCACUAUGCCCUACGAACGGAGCAAUCGGCUUAAGUCGGCAACGACUUAAGGUGGUGCAACAUGCUCACGCUUACUUAACUCGGGGUGACCACUAUGCCCUACGAACGGAGCAAUCGGCUUAAGUCGGCAACGACUUAAGGCGGUGCAACAUGCUCACGCUUACUUAACUCGGGGUGACCACUAUGCCCUACGAACGGAGCAAUCGGCUUAAGUCGGCAACGACUUAAGGCGGUGCAACAUGCUCACGCUUACUUAACUCGGGGUGACCACUAUGCCCUACGAACGGAGCAAUCGACUUAAGUCGGCAACGACUUGAGGCGGUGCAACAUGCUCACGCUUACUCUACCGGGGGUGACCACUAUGCCCUACUAACGGAAGUUACCGGCUAAAAGUAAUUGAUGGUUUGAACCAGUAUAGCAUACUCACACUUAUGCAGUUCAAGGGAUGAUCUCCAUAUCCCACAAACAAACUUCAUAAUCAUCAUACAGCGUUACCACAAACUUGCAAACUAAUAAUUUCUGAUACAAUAAGGGAGUAAUAACGUCAUUCGAAUGAUAAGCCGAUACUUGAUCAUGCUAACUGCGCGCUCAGAGCACGCGAACUGUUUCUUUAUUUUCUAAUGUCUUUCUCAGGAACGACUGACGAAGAAGGGCGAUUCGAGGAAUCAGGGGCAGCAUUCACGUCGGCUUUUAUAUCUUCAGGGACAGCCACGCCGGGUCUUCUCAUCAAGAUUCGUCCUGCUCGAAUGGCCUUGUCCAGGGCCUUAUCGCGCUGAGCUUUAAAAGUGACAGCAGCUUCUUCAGCAACUUUAACAGCCUGCUGAGCAGUUUCUAACUCCUGAGCAAUGGAUUUCUUAGAAGCUCGGAGUCCCUUGAUGGUGGCAUCCUUUGCCGAUAGCAACUGUGUAAGGCGGGCUACUUCAUCCGAGGAUUCUUGCAGUUGACGGCGCUGAUUGUCAAGCUCCUCCAUAGUAAAACGGUGGCUCCUCUCCAAGAUGGUCAGCGAGUUGCUGGAAUCUCGGUACAAUCUGUCCAAGUUAUCGCGAGAAGCGGCAAGGAUGCGUUUUUCCUCCUACAAGCAAAAAUCAACUCAUUCAGAAUCCAAGAACAUCAUAAGGCGAAGCACAGAUUCGUAAGCUACCUUCUCAGAGUCAAGCUGGACAUGAAGGGAGGAACUCAGAGCGUUGGCAUCAUCCAAAGCCGCAGAGACCUGACUCAACUCGAUCUGACUUUGAGAAUACUUCUCCUCGAAGUCAGCGCAUCGUCGAGCCAUUUCGGCUUGAUCUUGAGAGUGUUUUUCUUCAAGAACUGUGAUCUGCCGAGUCAUCCCUAUCAACAAGUAUUCAAACAAAAUGAGGUCAGAAGGUAAAACAAUCCACGGGCAAGAACAAAGGAGAAGAAGAAAGGACACUAACCAGCAUUGGCGGCCUCCAACUCAGAUACACGACUCCGAAGCAACACCGGAUUCCAACGCUCAAGAGAUGAAGCCACCUCCGGGAUGGAAGCACCCUGCGACUUCAGCUGGCCGACCAUUCCAUCCACCAAAGCCUGAUAAGAAGAGCGGAUGAUCAUAAUGGCAACAAUUCACGCAACAUAAAGAUCCAACUAAAGCACAGCACAGCACCUGGAGGUUGGAGAAAAGCGAAGGGAUCCCCAAAUCAUUCGAAAUCGGCUGAUGACCAGGUGCCAGACCACCACUCGAAGCAGGUUGCAGCAGACCAGCAGGAACAAGCUCAGUACAUUCAGCAGAGUUUAACUCCAGACCAGUGGGGAUGCUGCCCUCCAAAGCGACCCCCUGAUCCGGAGUCCGAGCCACCAUCAUGCCGCCAGAGUGUGGAGGUGAACCCACAUGAACAUCCAUGGAAGUGCAGGAGGGAGACCCCGCUCGGACACCCUCGGGGGCUGGGUCAAGGUUGGCACUGCCCACUUGAGCCGGGUCACCCCCGGCAACACCCUCGGGGGCUGGGUAGUGGCCUACACUCCUCGCCUGAGUUGAGCCCUCCCCGGCGACACCCUCGGGGGCUGGGCACAUGUCAGCACUAUUCAAAGGAUCCAAGCUCUCUGCCGUGACCACCUCUAAGGUCGACGGGCCUUCAGCUGUUUCCACAGGAUCAGGACGGUCCAAGUCAUUAUCCCGGCCCUCGAGAUCGUGCUCUAAGGUCGACGAGGCACGGGAUGACCUCAACCCAGCAUCUGGCACGGCUGCACAAGUUUCUGUUGCAUCAACGUCCGCAGGUUCCAACAGCAAGUUCUCAGGGACCAUAUCCUCUAGAGCUUGAUCAAAAUUGGCCAUGGACAGUUCUUGCAGACCAAUAAGAGCAGACAAGGCAGGAGAAGGAACCCCACUACUACCACCGCUAGCGACGAACUGACGACUGUUCUUCCGAGUUAAUGGAGUUUCAUUCUCUUCCUCCUCAUCUUCCACAGCAACAGCACAAACAGCAUCCUCAUCAGCAGCGGGCGGAGCACACUGAAAGGGAAAUGUGCCCUUGGGCCAUUUCUAAGUAUUUUGGUGAUUGAGUGCAAACACAAGGGCCUAAAUGUGAAAAUAUGCUAAUGGAUGAACAAGGUGAAAAUCAUGAAGUAAAGGUAUGUUUCUAAGCCUUAGUACAUUGGUUUUAAGUACUAAUAUAUUUGUCUAAGUGUUAGAAACAGAAAGAAGAAGAAUAGAGAAAAGGAGAAGGGACUUGGCUGUGUGCUGCCAAGACCCAGCUCGGUCUGGAGCACCGGACUGUCCGGUGUGCACCGGACAGUGUCCGGUGCGCCAGGCUGGCGCGACUCGAACUGGCCGCUCUCGGGAAAUUGGCCGGCGGCGUACGGCUAAAAUUCACCGGACUGUCCGGUGUGCACCGGACUGUCCGGUGAGCCAACGGUCGGCCAGGGCCAACGGUCGGCCGCGCAAUCCGCGCGGGACACGUGGCCGAGCCAACCGUCGGAAGACGGCACCGGACUGUCCGGUGUGCACCGGACAUGUCCGGUGCGCCAACAGCGCCAGAUCUGCCAACGGUCUGCAACGGUCGUCUUCGCCGUUUAAGGAAACAAAUCGGGCACCGGACAGUGUCCGGUGUGCACCGGACUGUCCGGUGCCCCCGACGACAGAAGGCAAGGAUGGCCUUCCGGAUUUGCUCUCAACGGCUCCUAGCUGCCUUGGGGCUAUAAAAGGAGCCCCUAGGCGCAUGGAGGAUACACACAAGCAACCUUUGAGCAUUCUUGAUCGUCCACACUAAGUCUCUGCGCAUUCGUUUGUGUUUCUAAGUGAUUCGAGCUCUGUUCUAAGUGAGAACUCUGAGAUAGUCUUGUGAGCUCGAUUCUUGGCCGUGUGUGUGCGCUUUUGCUGUGGAUUUGUGUGUGUUGCUUCCCUCCCUUACUCUGUGUUUCAUUUGUGAUCAUAUACUUGUAAGGGCAAGAGACUCCAAUUUGUGGAGAUUCCUUGCAAACGGGAUAGUGAAAGGAAAACAAAACACCGUGGUAUUCAAGUGGGUCUUUGGACCGCUUGAGAGGGGUUGAUUGCAACCCUCGUCCGUUGGGACGCCACAACGUGGAGUAGGCAAGCGUUGGUCUUGGCCGAACCACGGGAUAAAACCACUGUGUCACUCUGUGCUUGAUUGGAUUCUUGUGGUUAUUGUGUUUUGACUCCUCUCUACCCACUUGGCAUAAACUGUGCUAACACCUAAUCAAGUUUUGUGGCUAUAAGUUUGAAGUUUUUACAGGAUCACCUAUUCACCCCCCCCCCUCU